GAAAAGUAAUUAAAUACACCAAUCAGAAAUAAGGAUAAAACACGUGGACCAAUGAGAUUAAAAGGGAACAUAAAACAUAUGGUGUUCCGGGUACAAAUAAUAAUUUCCCAUGAAUUUAGACCUCAUUUACAUUGAAAAUUCUUCUACGCAUUAAUGUACAAGUGAACCGAGCAACUAAUAUGUAAUAUUUUGAUCCGUUCAUCCACGUCGUAUUAUUAUGCAUGUAUUCUAAUACCGUUAACAAAAUUGAUACCCAAAAAAGUAAUCAUAAGUGUUUCCAACACAUGAGGUGAGAACCUGAGGUUAAAUAAGAAAUACUCUUAUUAUGGGCGCUUAAUUUGAUUGGAUCAAAAAUAAAAUAAAUGAAAGAAUUUAAGGCCUCUAGUUUUUAUUCGAUCUUCGCAUACGGCAGUUUGAUGACUUGCACAUUACUAGUGCAAAUACACCUUGACGUGUAGAAUCCGCUCCGAUUUUUUUUUUUUUUUUUUGUAGAUAGAUAAAUUAAUCUCCGUUAGAGGAAAGGCUCAUCUAUUGGCAAAUGCCAAAACGACGGAUAUUAUGCGGUCAAGCAGGUACAAAGCUCUAGCUAGUACAGACUCAAAUAACCAUUAUUCGACACAAUUAAAAUGCAGACUAACAUCCAAAAAAGAUGGACAAUCCAAAUCCAAAACAAAGAUAUACAAAAAAUUAACAAAACAACCCUAAUUCUCCACAUAUGCUUUAAAUAGUUUGAGAUGUAAAUACCACUUUAGUGUACCCCUCCACAAAGUAACACAAAUGUUUUUUUGUUUUUUUAUUUACACAAAUGUUGGUUAAAAGAGGCGGAGGAUAAAGAUGUGGGUCUUUUAGCUCACCUUUAACUAGUUACUAGUCCUUAGCAGUAAUGAAUAAUGAUAUUGGAAAUCUUUGUUGGAGGCACUGUAUUAAGCUCUCAUUCCCCUUUUCAGAAUUCAGGUGCCACAUAUGGAAGUCCACAUACAUACAUUAGGGCUAGGGCCAUGCCAAAUGUACGAGCAAUCAUAUUCAAGUUCUAAUAUUUCUGCCUAUUUCAUCCAAAUUACUAAAUGAUUGUAAUGGCACUUUCACAUAUGGAAGUCCACAUACAUACAUUAGGCUAGGGCCAUGCCAGUUUCCUAACUUAAACUGAUGUCUUCCCCCAAGCUAGGAUAGGAUGUCCUUUAAGCUAAAAUAUUAGGAGCUUCACAAUUAUUAUAAAAGAAGCAGAUAGAUUGAUCAAUAUUGAUAAAACAAGAAGGAUUUUUUAUUUUCUCCUGCUUUUAGUUCAAACAAAAAUUGAAGUUAUUUUCAGUUUCUUGGAGAAUAGUAGUAUAUAUAUAUAUAUAUAUAUAUAUAUAUAUAUAUAUAUAUAUAUAUAUACAUACAGAAUCUCUUUGGUACAAUUCCUACAGAUCGAAUAUCUGAUGUAUAUGUUUCUGUGUGACCACAUGCCUAACACACAGAUUCUUACAUGCAUCAUUGGGGGACCAGACUUCUAGUCGAUUACGAUUUUAUGUUGAACAAGAAUGAACUGUAUGUAUAAGAACUCAGUCUCAGGAACUCGAUCGUAUAUAAACAUGUAUGCCCGGUCCUUAUAAGAGCACGGACAUAGUUCAUUGAGUAGUACAUUACUGUGUGAUCGUGUAACUAGACUAUGCAUGCAUACGAUCGGAUAAGGUACAGUGUUACGUAUGCGUUUUUGGAAUUAAGUUGUUGUGUUGCUAUAUACGGUAGAUUCAUUUUGUAAAAUUUAACCAGGCCAGACAUACGGGAGGUAAAAGCAUCCCCUUUCCAAAGUUUGAAAUGGUGUGUUAACAGCCUUAUAUAGUAGGUAAAAGUCGUAAUAAUGUAUCGUCACCCUUAAUUAAGUCGUACUAAAAUAUCUUGAGAAAUAAUAUAUGUAAAUUAACACUAAUGCGUUUAAGUAAUUUGAGCUCUAAUCUACUAGAAUUUCGUAUUUGGGAUUCGGAGGUUUUGAUUCAACAAAAUAUGUGUAUUUUGGCAUUCGUACAUUUGAAUCGUCUGGAGCAAUACGUACUAAAGGAUGAUUCAAGUUAUUCUAUGAAGUAUGAAAUGUUAUUUGAGUGGACCACGAGACAUUUUCCAUUAUGGUACUAUUGUAAAUGACAGCAGAUGGGUAUUGAAUGGUUACUCUGUCCUUAGGCUAGCACAAAUUUCUCGAAAUUUGAAAACACACUCCACGCGUGUUAUCUGGAUGUGUUUCAAAUGCACGUCACCAAGCUCUAUUUUUAUUAUUUUUAUGUGCUUCGAUAUGCUUGUCACUAAGUUUUAUUUUGUAAAUAUGCUAUUUUGAGGUUCUAUCUAUAAAGUUAGUUCUCUUGAUUAAAAAAAUAAUAAUAAUGAAUCUUUUGAAAAUUAUGGAUAAAUAAAUUUAUAAAUAUUUUAAUUAAACAAAACUAUUACAGAUACUCUGUUAUGAUCCGAUAUAUUAUUGUUGAUAUGAUCACAUCUUGUUUUCUCAGAUACGUUUUACCGGCAUUCAGGCCUUCACAUGAGCAUCGUAGACGUGAGGGGAUGGCGAGGUCGGCUGCCGGACAGCUUGACGGCAGAGAUGAUGGAGUGGACGCAACAAUUAGUUGCUCAAGGUGCUCAUCUCUUGGGUCAGACCCAAGAGAUGGUCGUACUUGGGUUAUUGGAUUUGUAUAUGGUCCGAUACCAAUUAAUAUCAUGACUGCUUCGGGGGUUGAUAAUUAACCGGGAUAAGUUUGACGUGUUUUAUGAAUGGUUUAUGAAUAAGGAAGUGUUCCUAUUUGGUUGCUAGGAAGUAGUUUUUUUUACUGGUCCGUAAUUGCGAGCAAAGACCGAUGGGAAUGCUAGAAUCCUAGAAGAUGAUUUUGUCCAAGAAGACGGUUUCCUUUGUUUAUAAGUUCGACUCAUAUAAUAGACUCGUUAUAGAAUUUUGAUUGAUAAAAAAUAAAAUAAAAGCAAUGACAAAGUUUCACAUUUGCGUCUCGUUUUUCACUUAUUUUUCUUGAUUUCUGUUGUUUUUAUUUCUUUGAUCCCGGGUAACAUUACACUAGAAGUUUGAGUGGUGUUGAAUGUAUGUACGUAUUGUACCUCGCACUGGGGUCAUUCACCAUAGUGAUCGACUUCCUUUUAAAUCUUUCUCUUUUAUUUUAAAAUGUAUAUAUACAAUCUCCAUUGUUUUACGUAACAACUGAUUUUAUGCUUGAUAUAAAUGAAAAUUUUAUAAUAUAAAUGCAUAUCUGAUCAUUAAAGAGAUUGAUAUUAUUGCUUUUUGAGAAAUAGAAAAAUACGAAACAAUAUUUUCGAUUUCUCCCUUGACAGCGUAAAUAACUAAAUAUGACAAGCAGCACACACACAAAUUAAGCCAGAUGGCGACUCCUCCUCCUCCUACCUAUAGUCAGUAACGCCCUCCCUCAUGCAUAAGGAAAGCAUCAUCACCCAAUUCCCCAUUUAAAAGUUAAAACCCAUCAAUCUCAUCCCUCCUUCCUCCACAUUAUCACUUCCUCUCAAACCAAACCCUUGUUGUUCUACUUCUCUCUAUUUUCUCUCACUCUAUCCCUCCCUCUCUGUCUCUAAUCAAAAGCAGCUAUGGUGGUUCAGUCGCAACCAGCUGCAUUAGACCAUUUCCCACUAAUCAAAGCAUGCAAGCCCAUAAGCAUGUUCUCUGGGAUUCCAGUGGUAGACCUUUCAGACCCCGAUGCCAAGAGCCUAAUCAUCAAGGCCUGCGAAGAAUACGGCUUGUUCAAGGUGGUCAAUCAUGGAGUCCCAUUGGAGUUCAUGACUACACUUGAGGCUCAAGCUCUCAAGUUCUUCAACUUACCACAGUCUGAAAAAGACAGAGCAGGCCCUGCCGACCCUUUUGGCUAUGGAAGCAAGCGAAUCGGUCCAAACGGCGAUGUGGGUUGGAUUGAAUACAUCCUCCUCACCGCCAAUCCUGAAAUCAUCUCCCACAAAUCACUCUCCAUUUUCAAAAACAACCCAGAAAUUUUCCGGUAAGUUACUGAUUUUCUUCUUUUUCAAUCAUUAAUAGAGAACAAGCUCUGUUCUUGCUCUGUUUUUGACUCUUUUCAAUCGAAUAUUAGUGCUCUGUUCUCACUCUGUUUUUCUCCGUUUUACAGUUCCGCUGUUGAGGAUUAUCUCUCGGCGGUGAAGAGGAUGGCCUGUGAGGUCCUAGAAAUGAUGGCUGAUGGGUUGGGAAUCGAUCAAAGAAAUGCGCUGAGCAAGCUUCUGAGAGAUGAGAAGAGUGACUCAUGUUUCAGGCUCAACUACUAUCCGCCAUGCCCGGAGCUUCAAACAUUGAGUGGACGAAAUGUGAUUGGGUUUGGGGAGCACACAGACCCUCAGAUAAUCUCUGUCCUGAGAUCUAACAACACCGCCAGCCUGCAAAUCAGCCUGAAAGAUGGGACUUGGGUUACUGUCCCACCUGAUCAGACUUCUUUUUUCUUCAAUGUUGGUGAUUGCCUACAGGUACAAAUACAAAUAGCAAACCACAUGUAUUAUUCGUAUAUACUUUUUUCAUGUAUUUCGCAACCAUUUAUUUUUACCAAGUCGGAUUGGGGAUGACGAUACCAUCCUCACUCACUGUCGUAAGCAAACAAAACCAAUAUUGAAAUUAUCUUUGUUUUUUCAGCUUGUCACCUUUUUAUAUUGCUUUGGUAGUGAAGGUUGGAUCCUAACUUGUAGCAGGCAACUGGGUAUUGCCGGUUUUUGAUUAUUAGUUUGUGGGUGAUGGUGUUUACAAGCUAGUAUUUGGGUUCACCCUAAAAGUCUUGACCCUAACAUUUGUUCAGGAACGAAACCUCCAAACUGAAAACCUCGUUUCAGCUUAAUGUCGACUAGCAAAAAAACAUAUCAAAAGCUUUCUGAGUAUGAUCCACUCAUACACAUACAAAAACUAUAAGGCAAAGUUUUGCUGUGAAAGAAAAUUUUACAGAUGAAUAAUUAUGGAUGCCAUUGUUGAUGCAGGUGAUGACUAACGGGAGGUUCAAGAGCGUGAAGCAUAGGGUUUUCGCAGACACAGAGAGGUCAAGGAUUUCGAUGAUUUACUUUGGAGGACCACCUCUGAGUGAAAAGAUAACACCUCUAGCGGCAGUGAUGGCAGAAGGAGAAGAAAGCUUGUACAAGGAGUUCACGUGGUCCGAGUACAGAAGCUCUGCUUAUAAAUCACGGCUGGCUGAUAAUAGGCUACGGCUCUUUGAGAAAUCCUUUUGGCAAUGCCAGUGAACAUGAUUGAGCUCCCCGUCCAAAUUUAGCAUAAGAAAUAUGUUUCUAGGGCCACUCUACUACGUACGUUGCCAAAGAUGGAAAACAUUGAGGUUGUUGUUUAUCUACUUUCUUUUAUUUUAUUUUCUUCUGUAUCUUAACCUUUGUUUUUGGUUCUUUGUGGUUAUUUCUGAUUCAAAUGUAACAAACUGCCUUCUAGCAUAAAUGUGAGUUUAUCAUCUUCAUGUGUUCUUGCUCAAAUCUUAUGUCAAGUUUCCUCAAAUACAGGAGUACUGAUGGUUACAUGUACCGAACUUAUUGAAAUACUUCUGCAAAUGACCAAAUGAGUUCUACAAAUGGAUUCCACAAGAUCAACAAAUAAAUUUAUGGAAGACGGAGUAUUAAAUCCAGCAAAAUAGUUUUUUUUUUUUUUUUUUUUGAGGAGUGCAAAAUAGCCAGUAAUUUGAAGUGUGAUAUAGAACAACAUACACAUUCUAAUGAUACAAGGUAAACAACUUUGUCCCCGUGUCUCGUAAGAUAUUGGAAAUGUGAAGUGACUUGCAUGCUUCAAACAAUGGAAAAAAUGUACAUCGCAUUUGUAAUUAAUCGAUUUCUUGUGUUAUGCACUAGUCAAUUACAAGAUAAAUUAAAAGCGAUAACAAUCAUGAAAAGAAAGGGACCCCAAAGACGAAACCAAUGAAUUCAAUGAAUUCAUGUGUUUUUGAGUCCCUACCUUCCCACCAAAAUAAGAAGAUUCUCCAAGGAAGGGACUCCAGGUAGUGCCUGCAGUCUACACAGUACAUCCCAGUCAAUUAAACUCCAAGCACUGGACAUCGAUUCCACUAUCACUAUCAGCACCCUGGCCUGGCUUGCUCCUUUCUCUUGCAUACGCGUCUCAUAAUUCCUUCAUUUUCAACCACCUUGCCACCCCAAAAACCAUGACAGAAGGUUUGCCAUGAAUUUGUUAAUUUAACAUUGCUAUUGUAUAUGAUUGUUUGAGACAAAUUGGAUGCUUCAUUUUCCUCAGUAUUAUUUCCAUAUGUCCGGUUCCACACACUUUUUAGCUAAAUCUUGAUCGAGUAUGAAAUGUGUGGAGUAAAGAGUUCCAAAAUAAAAGAGCAUCACAGCCUGAAGUCCAAUACCUUCCUUCCCUUUAUUUAGUUGAAAGAAAAAAAUAUAUAUAUAUAUAUAUAUAUAUAUAUAUAUAUAUAUAUAUAUAUGUAUUAUCAAUUCAUGAGUGUGCAGGAAAACCGGCAUUUGCCUCUCCAGUUUAUUGUAAGGAUUGAUAAAGCCAAGAAGCUGUCAACACUAUGGCCCCGCUCCUAUAUAUGCAUGGCAUACCCCUCCAUUGAACUAUAUAUGGAAAUCAUAAUCUGAUUGUCUUUAGGGAGCAUACAGACCCAGCAGGAUAAACCAGAAUCUCAUAAUGUACGCACAUUUCAAAUAAGCAUAGCACUCCUUUUCAUCAAUUAUCAGUUACAAAUAAGGAAAUCAAUGUUGAUGAUUGCCCUACUUGCAGGUUUUUCUAAAGAGUUCUGGAACCGUGUAGAACUUAUUACGAUCAAUCAAUCCUAGCUUUCUCAGCUUUUGAGCAAUAUAGCUCUAUCUACCACAUAUUCAAGUCGACCAGCUGAUAUUAUUUUCCUGCUGGUGGUGUAGUAUAUGAUUGGACGUCAUAAGGGGUUUGAUGCUUUAUACAUCUUGCAUACAUCAAUCAUCUCAGUUUGUUUUCUGGUGCAAAAAUACAGUGAUAUAUCCAUCGAAAGCCGAUUCAUAAUAACGCAUUGAUCGAUCCCACAUGUGACCUCUGCAACACAUUGAGCAUAUACAAGACCAUAUAUAGUAAAACAGCAGAUCGAGUGGUACAUACGUGCUUCCCAGUCCGAUCAAUGUCCUUCAGAAUCAUGACCAAAAUCUACAUGAAUAUCUACAUAUAUACCACAUACGAUGUCUUGUUUUUUCUAAUGUAUAGGAUUUGAUAUAUUGGAUGCAAGCACGUAGAAUUGAUCAUGUAGAUCAUUUCCAUUGAAAUUUCAGGUACAAGAUAAUUACCUAAAAUGAAAAGGAAAGAAAAAACAUAGAGAAGAAGAGAGUCGAUAUAUAGAUUUGUACAUUUUCGGUUGCUGAUUACAUAUGGAAUUCUAAGAGCCAAUGAAUCGAUGUCAGUCGAGCUAUGUUAUUUGUUUCAAGCUAGCUAGCUACGUGCGAAGGUCCACCUAUGCUGCUCUGCAUGAGAAAGCUAGCAUUAUUGUUUGAAAAGGAACUCGAUCAAAUGGAAUAUGAAUAUGAUAUUUUCUACAAUUAUCUACCAGCCUGGCUAUAAAGCUUGAUAUUUAACGUUGGAAGAUAUUUAAGGUUCUUAUAAGAUAUUCUAAUUAGAACAGGGGUAUUGAUAUUUUGAGCAACACCAAGCCAAAAUCGCACUGAAUGAUGGGACGCACACCCCACUGCUGCUGGUAGUGUAUAUAGGUAUUCCAAUUAUUUGAAUUGAUCGAUAUCCUAUUUAACCAAUUAUAUAUCUCUCCAUAACACACAACAUGUGUGGAGCAAAAGUGUGGCCUUUAAAGGUGUUGCAUUCUUCUUUAUGUGUGAUAAGUGUAGAUAUUAGUGAAGACGAGAGGAAAAUUGUCAUAUAAAUGUGAAUUGCAACACCUUUAAAGACCACACUCCUUGUGUGGAAUUUGCUCAAUUUUGUUGUUGUGACAUUACUACGUACAUUCUAAAUCAUUUGAUUAUGUGAAAGUUGAUUUGAUUUUAGAAGCUCUUAUGUUAGGCCAACUAGGUGUUGGAGUCAUUUUUUUUGUACAUUCAAGUAGUUAAACUGCGCAUUUGCAUUCUCAAAACAAAAAAAACUGCGCAUUUGAAAAGAAAAUAAAUCCAUACAUGUUGAACUUUGAUUUGUGUUGGUUUUUACACCAACACCAGCUAACUCGCGUCGGGAUAUAUCCUUGUAUUGAGAAACUGUUAGGAUAACUAGUAAGUAUUUAUGUACACAACCGCUUGCAUCACACUCAUUUACAGAUCCGAGCCCAUGACACGACUUGAUCUUAUUUCCUUGUAAUCCAGAAGGUUCUCCCACUUGUACUAGCCAUGUCACACGGCUCUUGUAUGUGAGAAAAGAGGUAGCACCCUACUUCUAGAAAUAGGGUUGACAUCCUUUUCUUACUCCCUCAUUCUAGCCUCCCGUUCUAUGAAGGUGAAUUACUUGCAUCUUGUGUUUACUCUCUCUCUCUCUCUCUCUCUCAUUUGUCUGCAAAGGAUCCAAAAAUCCAUCUCAAAAUCCUUUACUAACAAAAACAGGAAAUUCUUUCCGCCAGCCAGUGAGAACUCAAAGAAAGCGAGGCUCUAGCACACGAAGAUUUCUACUAUACAUGUGUGUAUAUGUGUAUAGCACACAAACACACAAUUAAGUCUAUGGAGAGGUCAUUUUCAUGGACCAACAUAUCUAACACCAGUCAGACCCUGAGUCUUUGAGACCACAAGUGCUAGCUACAUCAUUUCCAAAAAAAAAGUGAUAGCUACAUGCUCACAUUACACAAAAUCACAAAUAUCUCAUCUCAGACAUAUUGGAGCUCCCAAAAGACUAAAACACUGAAAGGGAUGGAAACUUUUCAUCGUUAAUGGCUUCGAUCGGCGUCUCUCCAUAUUAUUAGUUUGGUCGAAAGCAACUACUCCCAUUCCCAACUGGGAAAGCUGCUUUAUGCCCCAAUGCCUGGGUUCAAAUGAGCACUUAAGUGAAAGGUGUUCAUUUGCGGCCUAGCUUUUGCAUCUAGAAAAUGAGCUUUUUAAACUGCUUCUGAAAGUCCAAGAGGUGAUUGAUUCAACGUGCUUUUUGAACAACAUUCCUUUGUGAUCGAAGUAGGUUACUUGGCAUUCUUCCAGCUUUUUGAUCGACUCGAAUUCGAGAAGGAGCAGGCUGACCACUUCGAUCUGGUAUAUAUUGGGUGUCACCAAGUUCAUUGAACCACAUGCACGAUCGAUAUCUUUUUGACCAAUGCCUUUGUGAAGAUAAUCCACUUAGUUUCUAGGUUAAAAUCAUUAAGGUGAAUGAACAAGUAAUUACAAUCAAUUGAUUUCUGGAUGUGCUAGUCUCAAUCUUAGAUUUACAAAACAAUUCGAUACUCUUUAAUAAUAAUUAUCUCUAUAAUCAAUAACUGACCAAAUGAACAUUUGGGUUGGUUAUAAUCUAAUAGAGUUUCUUUGGCCACAAAAUAACAGCCUAAUUACAAAAGGGUGCGUCUAUCGCCACCCCACAAACUGUUUUGUUCACUCCACACGUUGUUGAUUUAUCAAAAUACCAAAAUACCCUGAUGUAAAAUUACAGCAAGAGACAUUAAGUUGUUAAAAUUACUAAUUUUUUUUCUUUUUCUUUUUUUAUCCUUUUGUUUUGGAUGAACACGCAUACUUCAUAAACCCUAACUCAACUUUAUCAUAUUCGAUCAUUCUGUAGAGUCUGAAGACGCUAGCAUUCAACCUGAAAAUGAGGUGAAUUGUUUGUAUUUUUUUUUUCUUCUCUUUUUUUCUUUGUUGAUGUUUCGUCUAUCUUUUUUCUCAUUAUUUCCUAUGUUGAUUUUUGUAUGUAAAUUCUCAUGGAUAACUGUACCGUAUUUAUGAAUAACGCAUAGACCAGUUCAAAAAACUCAAAAGUAUGGAGUAAUGGAAAAGAGAAUAUAGGGUGAACAAAGUAUAAUGAGAAAAAUAUAUUUUAGGUAUUGUAAAUGAGUGAAUAAAGUAGGAUUGAGAAAAUGGUAUUUUAGGUAUUGUAAAUGGGUGAACAAAGUAGAUUUACAAAUAAAAAUAUAUAAAUGGGGUGUAAAGAGAAUGUGGAGUGAGCAAAAUAGUUUGUAGGGUGGCGAUAGACGCACCCUUACAAAAUUUGCUGCCAAUUAUCACUAGUAAACUAUAUACUUAUCUAUAAUUGUUUGAUCAACGAAUUGAUCAAGUUAUCUGUGGCUCAACCUAUAUAUGCCUAAUACUACAUGGCCCUAAACAAGCAAACAGAAGUUCAAGCANNNNNNNNNNNNNNNNNNNNNNNNNNNNNNNNNNNNNAGAAUAUCAGAUAUUAUGAACCAAACUGAAACAGGGUGGUAGGUUUGAUUUGGCUCUGAUUCUUUUAUUUUUGAAACUAUGGUAUUGAAGAUUUUAGAAACUAGCUAGCAGUCCCACCAAACUAAAUCAACAUGAUCGUAUAAGUACACUAUCUUUAUUUGGACUGAAAUAUAUAAGAGGUUAGGUUGUUAUCUCCUUUUAUUUCGUGUGAUGAAGAGUUUUCCUAAAUUGAUGGAACACAACAAAAAUUAGUUACGUAGCUAUUUCAAAAGACUAUUAAUCUAAUAUUUUAAAAAAUCAGUAGUAUCAUCGAAAAAGUAUUAAACUAGUAUUUCUUAUCUUAAAAUUAAAUAGUACUCGCUCUCCUCCCCGCAUCCUCAUAGCACCCUAACUAGUUUAAUAACCCAUCCGUCUCCUUAAAAACUCAAAUUUAGUUGUUUAUUUUUAACAAGGAAUCUCUUAGUAAUAACCAAUAAGGAUUGAAAAUUGAUAUGAAAAAGUUAAAAUCUUUGGUUGAAAAUAAAAUUUUGAGGCAAGUACUAAAUAGGCACUUUAUUAAGUUCAUUUUCUGCUAGUGGAAUGAGGAUGACAGGUAGAAUCAGUUUUUGGACAUAGACAGGUAUGCAUAUUCAAUCACAAUGAUUUAUUUCGUCAUAAAAUAUGGAAAGUGCAUCACAGAAUCACACCAACAAUAAAGAAUGAACAAACAAACCACAUGUUUUAUAAAAAUAAAAACAUACCACAUGUUCUACUUGAUUUUUUUUUUUAAAGUACAUGUUCUACUUGAAUCUAUAAGGUCCAGUAGACUCGCCACUGACCAGAAAGCUCCAACUGUGAGAGAAAGAGAUAGACAGAGAGAUUGAAUCUACAAGUCUCUCUUUCUUCUCCACUCAAGAUUCACCGGAGCAAUGUCCGAUGAGCCUUCAAUCACUCGCUGGACCUUUCCGGUACUCACCAACUCUCUUUCUCUUAUUCUAUUUGGUUACCCAGAAACAAAAUGGUAGCUUUGACUCAAAUUUGGAAACUUUGAGCAUCCAUGACCUGAGUUUGAGCCUGAAAUGAAAUACCCAAGUCUCUGAAUUUUGUUUUGUUUUAGCUUUGUUGUGUUUUUCUGAUCCAUGCACCUAGCACAAGCUCAGUAAUGUGUCCGAAACUUGAUCACCCUUAUAAGACUAGAUUGAAUCUGUGUGAAUUUUGCAUGUUGAGAUUGUUUGAUUGCGAAUCUUGAUCUAAUGAGUAGGAUAGAAUCAAGAUUUCGUGGAUUUGUCUCAGCUAAAACUAACAUGUAUUUCUAGGAUUUUAAAUUGUUUUAUGAUGCCAAGUUUGGUAGAAAGAAAGUGCCGGAGGAGACGCCAAGCGAGCAGGCAACCGCUAAUGGAGGUGUGAGUAAUGGGGGAGCUUCAAGCGCCACAGCGAAUGGGAAUGGUCAUGUGAAAAACCAAUCUGACUUGGCCAUCUAUGAGAGAUAUCGAAACCAGGUAGUGCAUUUGGUCUUAUUAAGUGAGAGAGUUGGUGAUUUGGUGGUUGCAUUGUUGCUUGGAUUUUGUCAUGUCAGGUUGGUAUGUAAUUCGGUUUUGUUUUGUGCUUUUCUUUUUGUUUUUUGUUUUUUCAGGAAGCUGCACAGUCGAAUGGAGUUUCAUCUGAUCCAACUCAUGUGAUCCCGUAUGGUUCUCAACUUGUAGGAUUACUCUUUUUGUGUUUUUAUUGUGUUUUUUAUUAAUCUUUGGUUGCGUGAGUUUUACUAAGAAAUGUUAACUUCAUUUUGCUUACUGAUAUUCAACAUACUAAGUGGAGCUCUACUGAGACUACAAUUUUGAAAGGUUAAAAAGUUGAAGGCCAUAGUUUUUUCAGUUUUAGAGGACUAUAAUUUGUACAUAUGCAUGAAAGAAUUAGAAUUCAGAUAGGGACCUGAUAUUUUCUUAAUGCAUCUAUAUUUGACAUGUUCUAUUGUAAAGUCUUGGAAAAUCAUGCCAAACAUCAUCUUAACUUGAGCAUUAAAUGUACAUAUGAAGCUGUUGAGUAAUAUGGUCUGCAUCAGGUAGGUUGGAUGCCUUUUUCUAUAAGAGCCUGCUGAUAUUUUAUGUUCCCCUUUACAGGAAGUCUUUGCUUCCUGCUUUUGAUUCUGCAGAAACACGUUCAUUAGCAGAGAGUUUAUGCAGGUAAGUUAAACAACAUGAAAUUUCACAUAUCGCCAAGGAUUUUAUAAUCUGUUUUUGCUUGCAUUUAUUGCAUACAUGUUUUCCCAGUGACCAGGGAUUUUAUAGUCUUAUGCUCUUAUCAUUUUUAACAGUUUGCAUCAUGUCCUGUGCAGGGAUAUAGUUCGUGGUGAUCCGGAUGUUAAGUGGGAAACCAUUAAGGGCUUAGAGAAUGCUAAACGUUUACUUAAAGAAGCAGUGGUCAUGCCGAUUAAGUAUCCCAAGUAGGUUUGGUUGAUGAACAUCUCAUGAACCACAAAUUUAACUACACCUUUACAUGUCUAUAUCCUUACAUAUGUUUGUUGCUAUUUUUUUUUUUUCUUCAAGUUUAAGAGGAUCAGAUUGUUGCAUUGCUAGUUGAUCUACUUACGAAGCAUGUUGAGGGUUGAGAUUCCUACUUCGUGUAUGUUUGACUAUUUAUAGCAACACAGAAACCAACAUUCACGGAUACUGUGAUUCUAGGUUUGUUAAAUGGUUGAAGUUGGUUUGACUAAGCUAGUAUGUAAUCCCAAUAUGUCUGCAAUCCGCAUGAUCAGAGUUCUAAUUAGAAUCUGGUGGACAUAGAUAAAGUUUCAAAAGUGAUUACAUAAUACGAUACAAAUAUGCAUUUUCCCCUCAAUUUGAAUUUAAAUUUAUAAUUUAUUGGAGUGUCAAAUUUAUGACCCAUUGUUCUAACUAGAAUCUGGUGGACAUAGUCAAAAGUGAUUACAUAAUACCAUUCAAAUAUGGAUUUUCCCCUCAAUUUGAAUUUAUAUUUAUAAUUUAUUGGUGGAGUGUCAAAUUUAUUUCCCAUUGUUGAUCUAUUAUAUCCAAGCGCGUGUGUUAUUGUUUCUGGCACAUAAUUUUUCAGAUAUUUUUCGAUAAAAUUUUAGUAAUAAGAACAUGAGUUACUUUUUUAUUUAUUUAUUUUUUUUUUUUUGUAAAUGCUGCAGCAUCAUGGCUAACCUGAUCUUUCCUCUUUCUCUAGGUACUUUACUGGUCUUUUAUCACCUUGGAAAGGUAUUCUCCUUUUUGGCCCUCCAGGAACAGGAAAGGUGUGCAUUAAUUCUCUCAUGUUGAAUGUUUAUGCUUUAUUUCCAACCUUAAAGCAAUGGGAUGGACUAUGAAGAAAUAUGUUAUUAAUACUUUAAACCUCUUCUUUAGGCAUGGCAUAAUAGUUUACUAGUGAGCUAACAUUUGUCUCCUGUUUGAGUCACAUCUCAAUUAUUAGCUGUAUAUGAGCAUUUUCAUCGUAACAUUACAUUGUAGAUUGCUCUUCCAUUUAUUCAGAUCCUUGUGACUAAUUGUUCAUAAAUAAAAAUGAUUGUGUGAAUUCUGUUCAUGCACCUCUUAGUUAUGGCAUACAAAAUGUUAUGAACACUAAAUGAAUUGGCACCUGCUAUGGCAGACUAUGCUUGCGAAGGCCGUUGCAACAGAGUGCAAGACCACAUUUUUCAACAUUUCAGCAUCAUCAGUUGUCAGUAAAUGGCGCGGUAUGUUAAAACUGAGAUAUUUUCUGAAUGUUUUUGUUGGUUAUGGUAUUAAAAGUCCAAUGUUUUUGACAGCAACUUAUAUCAGGUCAGAUUUACAUUAAAAUGGAAGGAUAUUACACAACCUAGGAUAGGAAAUGACACAGAGAAGUGAUCAAGAUCAAUGGUCACUAUGGGGUGGGACGGUGGGUAGGAUUGUAAGCCUAUAUAGUUUAGCUAUUUACAAACCAAAGUGACAUUGUAUGGUCAAAAAACAUGGACAGCUAGGGAAAUGUUAUAGAUUUAUUUAAUGUAUACAUAACACAUUUUGAAGUUCGUUUAUCUUAGAUGCUUUUCAAUCUUGAAGUUCGUUUGACAUUCCAGGUGACUCUGAGAAGUUAGUGAAGGUGCUAUUUGAGCUCGCCAGGCACCAUGCACCCUCAACUAUAUUUAUUGAUGAAAUUGAUGCAAUUAUUAGUCAACGUGGUGAAGGGCGAAGUGAGCAUGAAGCAAGUAGGCGUUUGAAAACGGAGCUUCUGAUACAGGUGAUGUUUGUUUUUUAAGAGUGCAUUAAUUUCUGUAGCUACUAUCCCAUUAACAUUGAAUCUUCUUAUCUACUCGUAUCAGUUAUCACGAUGAUAGUUAUCAUUUAGCAGCACUAUUAAUUAGAAGACAGUACUGCUGAUACUGAGCCACAGUGCUUCCACGUGUCUGUGACUCUGUGGUCCUGCUAUCAUAACUUCUGCAUGAUCAUGCUGCCGUAACUUGAAGUGUCUAAACUUAUACUGCUUCGGUUUUUCAAAUGUAGCAGGAGCUUUUUUUCUAAAAUGCUUUACCCACUAUGGUGUCAAUUAUAUUUGAUUUGAUCAAUUAUCAAUCUCUGAAUCAUUGAUAUUGAAAGUCACAAUUUUUUUAUUUAUUUUUUACAUGUGAACUGUACAACUUUGUCAAAUAUUGAUUAAGUUUAUCACCUUACAGAUGGAUGGUUUGACGAAGACAAAUGAACUAGUAUUUGUUUUGGCCGCAACAAAUCUUCCGUGGGAACUUGAUGCAGCUAUGCUCCGGCGUCUUGAAAAACGAGUAUCCUUUUUGAUAAGAUAUAUGAUGCUCAGUCAUACAUGCUAGGUUUCUACAAAUUAUAUUGCUAGCUUUAGCAUAACUCUUAUUGCAUACAUGAGACUUGUGCUAUCUGAUAACAGUUUUUGCAUGAUCAAUUAUAUUUUACAUGCAUUUAUUUUAUCAAUUGAGUUCUCCAUUGACCAUGGCAAUUUAGAUUCUUGUGCCUCUGCCUGAACCUGAAGCACGAAGAGCCAUGUUUGAGGAGCUCCUGCCUGUAGAACCUGGUGAGGAGGAGCUUCCUUAUGAUUUGUUGGUGGAUAAGACAGAAGGAUAUUCAGGUUCUGAUAUUCGUUUGGUAUGCAAGGAGGCUGCCAUGCAGCCCCUGAGACGCCUAAUGACACUCCUUGAAGACAAAGAGGAAAUGAUGCCUGAGGAAGGUAUGUGGCUGCAAUCAUACGAGUAUCCCUGAAGAGUUUUAAUAUUAUUGCAGUCACCAAAGAUGGUUUGUUGCAAUAUGAGAAAGUGGGGCUCAGAAGCAACUGAAAAUAUGUUGCCUCCCUUCACCAUUCUAGUUCCUUUUAUCUUUGAAAUGUCUAGCGUAGGGAAUGCAACGUAAAGGAACACAAACAAAUUCAGUUGUGGGUUAUCUGUUUACAAUUCAUAAACUGGGCUUACCUAUAGUGAGGAGAUAUCUAGGUAAUAAGCUUAUUCCCAGGUGUUUGUUGUUUUGUCUGCAGAACUCCCUAAGGUUGGACCGAUCAAACAUGAUGACAUUGAGACAGCUUUGAAGAACACAAGGCCAUCUGCUCACCUCCAGGCUCAUCGUUAUGAGAAGUUCAAUGCUGAUUACGGCAGUCAAAUACUCCAAUGAUGGCACAUAACCAUAUUUGUCUUGUUCGGAAAGAUAUAUAUUUUUUUCUUCUAGUUUUAGUGUGGGUUGCAAGAUUAUGUGGCCAAUUUGCCACCCAGGUUUAUGAGGAUUAUGAUUUACAUGGACCUAAAUAAAAGGCGACUGUUUUCAUAUGGGAACAGUUUCAACAUUUUUGUAUUUAAGAGAUAUUCAGGUUUGAUGUAUGAACAUGUUAAUCAUGGAGAGAGGAUGUGAAGCGGACGUCCGCACUUUAAGCCGAGUGCGGACGUCCGUUUCACAUCCGGCCUGGUUAAUCAUGAUAUGGUCAACUAUGGCUUAAGCAGCAAAAUUUACCCUUCUCUAUCCGAUUAGGGAAUUCUCUUCGUUCCAUUGCACCAUAACUUUGACCAGAAACAUACAUCUGAAAAUGAUUUUGCCAAACUGAUCAGUUUGCAUUCUUGGUUUCAUCAGUUCUAACACAGCCGUGCAAAUUGCAUUCACGAGCCUAUGUAUAGAAUGCUGAUACUUCUUGUGGAGCAGCAGAGAUUAGGGUUGUGUAUUACAAUAGUGUCUGUCAAAUAUCUGACACUACAGCAACUCUCAUCCCGAAAGAAAAGAAGAAGCUCUACAUUUGCAAACAUUUUCAACGAAUUAGCAUGGGAAAAGAAGAAAUAAUAUGUACUUCUAUUCCCAUAUAGAAUUACAGAAACUUUGAAGCAUCUUUCAGAAGCAAGCGCGCUCUGGACACAUUCAGUCAUUGUUAGUUCUGAGAACUCCCUCACCAGUUAUAAUCAUUUAUGAGUUUUCACCAGAACUCGUUUGCUUGGGUCAGACAUUUGAGGUGCUGCUGAUGACUUCUUUUAGGGGGAAGACUAUUAAAGACCGCAGCAAAUGGAACAAAAUAUUCGAUGCGCUGAUGAUGGCCACUAAAAAGUUUCAAACUCACCAUAGGAUGUACCAGUACCACAGAUCAUAGUCUUGCUUGUACGAUAAAAGUGAAGUGAAAACAGGAAGAACAAGGAAACCACACGACUUUUUGAAAAGUUUAGAAAAUCUUUUAACAAUAGAAUCUUCUUAUAACAACAUAUAAGGAUUCAAACACAAGGUUCCCACAAAGACUAGUACAUAAGCAGGCGAAAAUAUCACUAGAUGGAAACAAAAAGCCUACUCGUAUUCAAACCUAGAGAAUUUUGUCCUCAUUUAAACCCCUUCAGAGGAUCAGCUGUUUUUCCAGAUCUCGCAUCAGUCCAUGCUUUGGCAAUUGUUCGCUUCAUUUCUUCAUCCCCUUCGUUGUACAUAUUCUGCAAGUUAUUCGCACAAUAAUUUGCUCAUCAGUCACAGAGACAUGGAUCACAUAUGCAAGUGCAUGCAUUUAUAUCGGAAUGAAAAGACCUGCAUAAAUACGCUCAUCCUCAAAACCUAGAAAUUUAUGAACUAACCUUCAUCAAGUCCAUAAUUCCUGCCAUUGGAUCUUUCUCUUUAUCCAGAUUUGGCUUUAGCUGCAAGAUCAACAUAUCCUUGUUAGUUCCAAUUCUGCCCUUGAAAAUAUAAUAGGAACAGUCCACGCUAUGAACUUACCUUGUCCUCCUUGAAAUGCAGAUCCAGCCAGUUCUCCUUUGAAGCUUUAAUCAAUGUGAUCACGACCCUCGUAGGCUUAACUAGCACCUUACACUUCUCUGGCACAACCUUGUUAUGGAGUUUAGGUAUAGCACAUCUGUAGUUCUUUCCUUGGACAUCAUGCAAUUUGAUAUCAAUGGAAGUAGGCUUAAUCUCAGUCUCCAUUUUCUCCUGAUCAACUCCCUCCAGAAAAAUAUAUAUCUGCAAGAGGAAUGAACAGAAAUCAAACCAGAAUCAAAGCUAUAAAGACACCCAGAAACAUAUAAGCCACUUUAAAAAAGAAAAAAAAAUUAGUGCCUGGUAGAGAAGCAGCACAAGUUCUCAUACAAGGAUGAAGCCAAAUGUUGUUUGUCUGUGAUGUUUGUUCUCAGAAUACCAUGCUAAUAGAUAAACUAAUUUUAGGCAAGAACAUAUUGUAAUCACAUUACCUUGACUUUCUCAGUAUCUUGCUCCCAGCUGAAUGACCCGAGUGUUACAUAAUUCAGAGCUGGAGUGGAAGGCACCUUCACGCCCGUAGAAAUAGGAGUAGGAGUUGUCAACGUAGGUUUAGGAGCAGCCUCUUUUGACAACUGUACAGUUACCGAACCACAUUAGCUUCUAUACGCAGACACAUAUACCCUCUAGCCUCUUUUAACAACAGAACAGAGGUGACUAAAAGUGAACGUGAUGAGGGUGGAUUUAUAAAUAGUAUACAGUCUUAGUCUCUGAAGAAUUUCAACCUUUCCAAAAUGCUACGUUACUAAGGUGCUUGAGAGUUGGUUCAAAAUAUAAAGAUUUUAAUUGUGGUAAGUUGCACGAGCCAAUUAUUAUACCAACAGCAUCACUGAUCAAAUUGCAAUAUUUGGUUUAUAGGAUACUUCAGAAUUCAAAUGAAGGUUUUCAUCUCUGUAAUGAAUUACUACAUAUUCUAUCCAUCCAAGCAUGUAUAUACACACAUACUUACACACUUGCUUGACACAUAAAACAUGAUUACAGCCAUUCACAAUGCUAAACCAACUCUACUAGUGCUCCAUUUGAACCAUUCCUAAUGCAAAGUUCCAAGCUUGAAUCCAUCUAUUAGCAUACUUUGUACAAACUUCAAGUAGAAAAUUUCAUCCUUCACAGUUAUACAUACAAAUGACACAUUCAAAGAUACUCCAUUCAAUUCACGUUUUUCAUAACAACACACAACCCUGAUUAGUAUGAUCACUAAUAAUUAAAAAAUCUCCAUUAACACCAUAACAACUGCUUAAAGCACUCUCCUUUUCACACAGUCAAUUGAAAACAUCCCACUUCAUACUGAACUGAAACAAACCCAAUUCCAUUUCACAACUUGGGUGUGAAUUGUCAAAGCUAUUUUGUCAAAAAGUUCGUUUCUUUUUUAGAGAAACACAAGGAAGAAAGAUAAACGAUUUAACCUUUUCUAAACUGCUGAUUUCGGAGGAGAUGAGAUUGAGGAUACGGGGUCGCUUUGCAAUGCUCUGGAUAUGCCGGAGCUCCUCCAAAUCUAGCGCCACUUCUUCUUCUGCUGCCAUUUUAUGGUUUCUGAAUUGCUAAACAGAGCGGCUCCGGCGGUUUUAGAUGGGUUUUUAUAGGAUGUGUUCUGUGUGGAAAUUGCUAGAACCUUGGCGAGGGAAUUGGGAGGGACAGGAUGGGAAGUCUACUAUGAAUUUUUUACUUUUAAAGUUCUAGUUUUUAAUUUUUCAGAAGGUUCCAGUGAUUCAGAUUUGGGCUUAUUUAUUGGGCUUGGGCAAGUUUGUCUCCCUUGAUGAACCCUUUAGCCCAGAUUAAUGACUCCAAACUUCUAAUAUUUAUGUUCUUAACCGAUCGAGCUACAUUAUAUUGGUAAAACAAUCUCUUCUAAAAAGUCAUUCUUGGAAUUGCAUGUACACCGUCGCAAGAACUUAGAUUGCAUACUAUUGCAUACCAUGCCGCGGUGGUCUAAGAUACAAUCUUAUGAGAAUGGGAUAUUACAAUCAAUGCAGCCUAUGCCUAAUUUUGAGGAUUGGCAAUUAGAAUGUCCUGAAGCUGCUUUUGCAAUCGGGCUCUUGUUUGGUAAUUAGAUACCAGCUUUCUGUUCACCUCUUCCUUCAUGGCUAAAAGCUCACACUUUCUCUUCUCAGCUGCAGCUACCUCAUUGUUACUUGUGCAAUUGUCACUGCCUUGAAAUUUGACAAACCUUGACUUGACCUAAAAUAGAGAUAAAAAGAAGAAAAAAACUUCACUAGUUGUAUGAAGAAUCAUAAAAAAACAUUAAAAAAGUCGAACUCUAAUCGUGAGCGUGAAGAUGAAUAUCCGAGCGCAACUAGCCUAACAUGUCAAAAAUCGACCUUUGCGUAUCAAGUAAAUGAACAAACUGCAAUGCUAGAAAGACAAUAACAAAAUAGGGAUUUUAGGGUUCCAUUUUUUUACCUCAUUGAAGCCAUUCUUCAAAUUCUCAAUCUGAAAUUGACAUUCCCAAGCAAACCUCUCCACAUUUUGCUUAAACUCCUUCAUUUCAGAUCCCUUCACCUCAUAAAACCUCUUCUUCUCCUUCUCCAAUUCCUCAAGCUCCUCCACCUCGCUCUUCAAAACCCUAAAAUUCCACCCCAAAUUCCAAAUCCAAUUCAACCUAAAAUUUCCAAAACCAAAACCAAUCAAAAUCUCAAUACCUCAGUUUCUCAGAAUCGUUCUGAGAUUUCGAGUCGAGCCGCUCGAUCUCGGACCGGAGCGCCCAGAUUUUGAAGCUUUGGGCCGCGAUCUUCUGCUCCAGCACCAAGCACCGCUGCUCCAUCGCUCCCAUGGUCGCGAGCUUCAACGCCAGCUCCUGAGACUUGUUCGCCUGAGCUUCUUUCUCCGCCUGAAAACGAAGCCGGAAUCGGUCAGAUUUCGGCUGCCGGGAAAGUCAAUUUCUUUGAUUGAAGAUGAGAAUUAGGGUUUGAAAUUGGGACCUGGAGGAGUGAGAGGCGUUGGUUACGAGUGUGCUCCAUGUGUUCGAGCCGGUCACGAAACGCCGAGAGCGCCAUCGCUGAUCGGAGAAAAGAAGAGAGAGAGAGAGAGAGAGCUCGGAAAGACGGAAGCGCCUAAUGAUAUUUUGAAUUUCCACCGUAUAUAUUUUCACUUUUAUUUUUAUUUUUAUAACUAAAUUAAUAAAACGAUAUUUUUUUGACUAAACCUGAUAGGGCUCACUAAGGUAAGUGUUGUAGAUCUCGUCGUUCUCAUUCUAAAAAAAUAUCAUGCGUUCUAAACGGACAUUAUCAUGAGAAACUUAAAAAGUCGAAAACAACAUCUUCUUAAAUAUUCCAACAGCUAGCAAUCUCUUUAUACGAGAAUUACCGAUUUUGAAAUCAUUCUCUUUUAUUAUUCGUCGCUUCCUUACGUUUAUUUUUUUUUCUGUUUAAAUUUAGCCAGCUCUCAUCCACAUCAUUAUCCUUUAAAUCACAUGAAUCUAACUUCCACUCAUCAUAAGCCGACGAUGCCGGGAUUGUUGUUGGUAAAGGCAACGGUGACUGCUGUGAAGGUGGAGGUGGUGGUUGCAGUUGGACCACGGAGGACUUUGACAGUGGGCCUCCUAGGGUUUACACUUUUGGGCUUGCUAGGGUUCUCAUUCUUGGGUCUGCUAGGAUAUGCCAUUCUGCAAUAAGCUUGGUUGAGUUAGGUCUUUAUGGCCUAAAAUGCGAUCUAAUUUUGGAUCAAGGGCAGUGUCUCGCAACCCCUUGGUUGAUACCAUUUAAUUAUGCUUCUGAGGGGGAUCAAAUCUACUGAACUAGUGAGCUAUAAACUGUUUCACAAGAAAAAUGUACUUUUGAUUGCUGGUGACCUAGAGAGCUAGGGGCAUUUUUAAGUGGUUAUUUAUUGUACUGUUUGCUGAGUUAUUAAUUGAGUUGACAUCAUAUCUGGUUUCUAAAAAAAACUUCCACUCAUUUCUCUCUUAUACAGUUAUACGUACUGAUUGAUCAGGGCUAAUACAUCAGAAACAAUCAGGUACUUAAUUUAAAUUACAUUAAUCCUUUAUAGCUAAUGCUCACUUUCUCCAAAUGCUGACACAAUUGCCACCUUAAUAAGAAAAAUUUCACAUCAAAAGUUUUCUUAUGUACAUGAAACACGUUCCAGACGUAGUGUGUGAAUUAUUAAAGAACGUCGACUAUCGUUUUGCUAGAUAUGUUAAUUUCCAUUUUCAGAAACAUACCAACAUCCAGACUUGGUCUCUAAGUAAUAAUCGUACGUUAAUGCCCUUUUUUUCUUUUUCUUCCACAAUGAACCGAUCCAGAAACCCUAAAAGAGUUCUAUGGCUACUCUAUAAAGACUCAGAUUUUCAGAUUGCUGUGACUUGUGGUUCUGCACAGAGAGCAGUGUUUUGUUGCUUCCUGAAGAACAUUACAUGUGCAGAUGACAAACUGAGACGUUCAAAACUUCCAUAUCUGGGUGAUGUGAUUCACUGAUUUGAAAUCAGUUCUGGUAUAGUUUGCGGUUAAUGCACUUCUGACUAAGCAGACUGGAAAAAAGACUGAAAACUUCCAUGUGAAAGAGGACGAUGCCUUUGAUGAGGGCCUAAAUCAAAAGAGGAAGCUAUAGCUAGCUAGCAGUCACUUUAUAAAAGCAUCUUCCACAAUGUUAUCUAUAUAUAUACCAAAUGGUAAAGGGUUUCGAUUAAAGAAGCGAUUAGAGCCUAACGAUCAUGAUCCCUAAACAUGGUAUGAAGCUAAUAGGCUUAUACAUUGAGGUUUUUUGAAACCAGAGGUCAUUGUUUUUAAGGAUUAACUACGUACCACAACCAGACAAUUGCUUUUGACGUAUCUGGGAAGAAAAGCAAGGGCUGUAGGAGCGCUACUACCUCGUAACAUUGCUCAUUCAUAGGGUAAGAGGCAGAUUCCAUUAGAGAUGAUGAUUUUAUCACUUGAAUAGUUGAAAUCUAAAAGACCCUUUUAAUUGUAUCUUAGUAAUUGCUUUGACAUUAGUAUAAUUGUCAUGAUGUACACACAUACAAUCAAAAUAUUUGCAGAAUGUGCUAGUUUGAUAUGCAUUUUAGACUCAUUCGAAAAAAGUGAGAUUCUUUUACAUUUCAAGUUUACAUCUCGCGUAUAGUUUAACCUUUGAAUUGUGAGUCAUUCUCAUUCUAGUAUAUAUAUGCACGAAUCACAUAUAUCUAAGAUGAUAUUGGGAUCCAUGUUUGCAGAAAGAGUAAAUUGAAAUCCUCGAACCUUCAUUUUUUCCGUCGAUAUCUAUCUGCCGCUCUUUUUCUAUGUAUUGGGAUAUCUCACACAUAUACCAGCUGAAUAGUUUUACUCUUUGUAUACAACAAUUAUCUAGACUCGAUCCCACAUUACACAUCUAGAAUUUCAACUUCAAUCAUUUUUUGGAAUAAUUAGUGUAUGCCAAUGAUUAAACUAAUGUUUCACCAAGAACCAGAAUAUACAAAAGGAGCCAUAUAUUCUGUGUCAGAUCAUUGUGCCGACAGAAUCGUUUUUAAGAAUUAUACUGUGGUCCAUAUGCUCUUUUUGCUUAGUAAUCUACUAAUCUCUGAUAGCAAAUCUCAUUUAGAUAUAUAUAUAUCCAUCAAAUUAAUCCUAAAGUUCUACCAGAAUUUCCUCCUAACCAAGCAAUAUGGGGAGUCAUACAGAAAGCCUUAAGCAGUGUGAUAUAUUCUAGCUAGCAAUAGCAUAUAUCUCUGUGAUUCUGUGUGUGUGGGGUGGGGCUUAUAUCAAAGGUGAAGAGUAUCAAGAAGAAGAAGAAGAGAAUUAAGAAGAUGUAUUACAUGAAAGUGAUGCAAAGAAAUGACAGAUAAGAUCCUAGAAAACUUAUGACAUGUAUACAAGCCUAUGAAAAUUUGGAAUCGAGCUAGAUAUAUGCAAUUCUCAAAUACAUAUGAAUCCAAUUUAGACAAGGAAUGGACUAGCUGUCGAGUAUGGGAUCUGUCAAUCGUAUAUGCUUUUGUCUAGUCAGAGACCAAGGCUAAUUUGAUUUAGUUUUCGGCAAGAACACAGCUGGCCUAUGUUUAAUAGUAUUGUUGUAUGCCUAGAACAUGGCUUGGCCAAAAAGGCCAACAAACCGCCGCGCUAUGAACAAUUUGCUGUAGAAUUCAAGUAGAUCAGCAAAAGGUUCAGAAAGAGAUAGAUUUUCCCUGCCUGUUGAGUUACAUCGCAUACUAGCAUGUUUUGUUUGCCUAGUUUUCAUUCUUAUGGCUUCUUUGAGACGGGCACACAUUAUCUUUAGUCUCUUUGCAUGCCCUUCACUCACUACUCUUCACGUUUUGUUCUUGCCUACAUGCCUCUUUCAAGUUAUUCAACAAACAUCUUCGCUUCCUUACAAAAACAAUGUCACCCCUCAUGAUCAUAAGCAAUACUUGGGUUUUAAGUUUUCAUAAACACCGUAUCAUUAAACUCUAGAAGCUUAUUGUCACGGAAUUAGACAACAAUGUAUAUUGAGCUAGCUAGCUAGCUAGCUACUCAAAACAUUGUCCGAUUGCAUUUUUCCUUUUAUAUCCAAAAAUGGAAAGUGGAAAUUGUUGGUGUGCAUGUGCACUGCAUUGGGUCAUGUCAAUAGGGUAGUAGACCAUCCUCAUCAAGAUGAACUAAGGCUGAGCUUACAUUGUCUGCCCUCGGCUCUAAUUACAGACAAACAAAAGCUAUAAAAAAAGGCUAACUUUGCACAAAGAAUUGGCGAGGCAAUGAGCAAUGCUGACGGUUAUAACAGGCCAGUGAGGAAUAAAGCUUUGGCCGCCCAUUUUUGUUAUUUCAUCCAUCAAGAAUUCAAGAUAAUAAAAAGAACCAAAGAAAGCCUUUCCCUUUUCUGUACUUUAGGCUCUCUCUCAUUAUCUCAUUUUUAUACUUGAACUUUCUGCAUCGUAUUUGAUUUGAUAUAGAUAUAUAAGAACAAGAGUCAUAGUGUCAUAAACAGAAAGCAGAUUAGAUAAAUAUUUAUAUAAGCAGGAACAGUUAUGGAUUCCACGUUCCAAAGGAAAGAGCUUUUCCUUGCAACCAAUGAAGAGAGCCAUCUGGUAUUCUCACUCUAAAUAUUCUAAGUUCUUCUCUAAUUAACACAUAUUUGUACAUUCAUACAUACUUUUGUUAUAAGCAAUGACAGAGAAAUUAAAUUGAGAAAUAGAUCUUGUUUACAGCAUCUUAAAUUGACUACUACUAUUGUCACAGUUAAUAAAGUCAAAUAAUGGCUUUAUCUUCUCUAACAAAUAAACUGCUAAGCUGAUCGAUAUAUGACGACGAUGAAGAUGAAGAUGAAGAUGAUAUGAUGAUUCAUUUCUGGUUCUUGUGCUUCUGUUCCUGAAGAUCAUUGAGAAUCUAAAAAGGACCCAAUUGAAGAAAUUAACCCGCAGUUAUUCCCUCUCUUCAAAAAGUUGUAUUUACAUCAACUCCGAAUUUCCCAUUUCUUCAUUUGCUUAGAAUGGUCGUCUCAUAUAAACUUGGAAGGUUACCACACAAACAAAGAUGCAGCUCACCCAGUUCUGAUGAAAGUCCAUUGUUGUUGACUGUUUACCACAGUAAGUUUUAGUUAUAUAGGAAGACUAAGAAAUAAUGAAUGAAGAAAAAAAAAAAUUUUUUUUUUUUUUUUUUUACCUUUGUGGCAGAGGAAGUGAUAUCAGAAAUGGAAGCCGUCGAGGUUGAUGAGGUAGUUGAAGUAGUUGAUAAGGCAGACAAUCCCACAUUGUAAGCCAUAGUUCCAUCAGGUUGAAAUAAACCAUAAUUCCUCUCUGAAGUUGGUCCAGGCUUCAUGUCCUCAUUGAAAAGAGCAAAAACAUAGACUUCCAGCCUCAUUCUAGGCCUCAAAGGCGUGCCUUCAUUUGCCAAUUGCCUCCUCAGCAAGUUUCUAUUAUAAAUAGCAGCGUUCUGCAAAGUUGCACCGAUUUCAUUGGCGUCGCCCUUGGAUGGCCACCCUGUCUCCGAAACCUUGACCUCGAUGCCAUUGAACCCCAACCGCGCCAUAGCGAAAAUGGCUGCAUCUACUUGAGCAUACAACAUAUUGUCAUAGUGUAACUUGGUGUAAGGGUCGAUCAUGCCAGAAUUGGGAUUGAAGAGCACAUAGUCUAGAGAAAUUUUAUUCGGGUUGUCUUUGUAUGCAAAGUAAGGAUAGGCAUUGAUCCAAAAAGGUGCCUUUGUGGUUUGUAAGAACUGUAACAAUUGUGACAUGACACCAGCUACUUCAGUCUUGAAGCUCCCUGCAGAAGGGGGAUAGGAUUCUUCAAGCACUGCCAAAGAGCAAGGUGUUGAGACCUUAAUGUAUGAGUCAAGGCCUAACUGAGUUAACGCCGUUUGAAUGCCGACCAUGGCUGGGACAAGAUUAGCUAGCAGCACGGUUGUGUCAUCGUCGGUGAAGACCUCAUUCCCUACUGCAAUGCUGGUGAUUUUCGUUGCGGGGACGUAAGGCUUGAUGUGAGCGUUAACCCAUUGAAGGGCUGCUUGGGGGUUCAUCAACUGGCCUAACAUUGCGUUUUCGAUUGUCACCAUUAGCUCAACGCCGGAAUUGGCAAAUGCUGUUAGUACUUGAGGAUUCGUGUCGUAAAUUCUUGCUUUCGUGACCUUGAGGGAGCUUAAGAGGUCUAGGACUUUCUGUGGUUCUAGCAGAUUGUUGCCGAGUUGGCCAUAGUUGAUGCCAAGUGAUGUAACUCCUUGUAAAGCUGUUAAAUCAUCAUAUCAAAAAAUUUAGAAUAAUGGACUAAAACAAUGUAGCAAUCACAAAAACCAGUAGAAAAAAUAAUGAAACCGAAAAGGGUACCUGAGAAACAGAGCAAACAGAGAAGAAAGGCGUUGAUUCUGGCAAUUCUGCUAGAAAUUGCCAUAGAUAGAGAUAGAGACAAAGGAAAAAGGAGAGAAUCUGAAGGGUUGGGAAGGAACUCUGAGGAAGAAGGAGGGAGAUAUAAAGAAGCUAGCUGAGAAUUCCUUUCUUUUCUUGGGUUGGAAAUAUUUGAGUGUGGGAGCUAAGGGGUUUUAGCUUGCCUUGCCUUGACAAUGUUGUCUUUGGCUCUUAACCUCUAAACUGGUUUUUAAAUGAUCCCAAUUUCUUCGAGGAGAUGGUUUGGUUUCAAAAGGAGCUGUCUGAUCAGCUUGUCUCUUUUCCAACCCACGCCAACUCCCGUCAACUUUAUAUGACCAAACAAGCCCUAGAGACUUUCUUGCGAUAAAGGCAAACGGAGAUCCCACUAACUUGGUUAAACAUGGGGGCAGGGCAACUUAGGCCGGGGAUCUCCAGAACUAGCUAGGGUGGGGUGAAAUUUAUGCAUAUGUGCCAGUACUAGAGUCAUCUCCGAUACAAGGUUUUUGUGAGUCCGUGAAAAUACAUACGCCUAAUUUUGUAUUAUGUCGGUUAAUUUGUCGAUAUAUAUUCUUGGUCAUUUUAUUAUCAAGAAUAAAGUUAAACAAUUUAAAGAGACAUGUGUCAAUAGAAUAAGAGAGUGGGCACUUUGAUAAGCAAAUAAAGGUAGUCGGCAAAUUUGUAUCCUUAAUAUAUAUAGAUAUAUAUAAAGUAAUUCUACAUUGUUUGUCUCACUGAUUUUUCGAAGGGAAUAAGCUUUCUUAAACGAGAUUAAAGCUAGCUUUACUAUCUUUUGCCUUAGACUUAAGUUGCUUAGUCUUUGAAAGAACAGUGAAAGAAUGGAUAAUUUUUAUCUCGACUAUUGAAACAUAUACAUUCUCCUACGUACAUACCAACAAGUGAAACUUUCCUCAUCAAGCGGUAACUUCAGUUCAUUACCUCUACAUAUUGACUAAUGAAUCAUGAAGUUCUGCCCUACACUAGUUAAUUAAAGUUAAUUACUGUGCGUGAUUAUAAAGCAAUAUAGUACGUUGAAGCAGAAGCAACCCAGGUGAAUAUUCCGGCCCUUUGCACACUCGACUUAAUGACUCAUGAAUCAGAUCGAAUCAUACUAUUACCUUCGUUUUUCUUUUGCCCUUCCUCUUUCUUGGAGUGAAAGAAAGAGAAAUAUAGUUUCUUCUUUCGCCAACUUUCCAUUCACGAGAGAUGCAAAUUUAGUUAACGUUCAAAAAGACAUGUUUAUUUACUCAACUGGGAAAAUUUCAUUCUCCUCGAUCGACUCCUUCAUGCUUCAAUUUCUUUGUACUUUGGUCAGAUUCCAAUAAAUUUAAGAAGAACUCUACCCCUAAGUUACUGUUGAAUAUUACUUAGUUGCACGUUGAAAUUGGAAGUUAAUUACUUCAAUCAUGCAUAGCAUGGUGGCCGGAAUUGAUCGUAGCACUACUAACAAAAUGAAGCUUCACACAGAUUUAAAUAAGUGAAAUAUAACUAUAUCAUACAGACAUCUGUAUGAGAAAGCUAUUAAUCAUGCUACACUCACAAAUUGUCUAUCCGUGCUCUCUGGAGAGGGGGCUAAUGCUUAAUACACACAAAUAAAAAAAUGAAAUAGAGAAGUUAUUAUUGUAUUAUUGUAUAAAAUAACGUGAGCCCAAAAAAGUCUAUUCCACACGGUUAUGUGUCAUUGAGAGUUUGUCACAGAUAACCGUAAGUUUAAAGUAAUAAGUGAGAAUAAAAUCCGUGUGAGAUGUUUUUUUUGCUAGUAGUGUAGGCCAACUAGUGAAAUAGAGAAGCAUUACAUGUAAAUAUUAGGUAUCUUACAUGGAGAUCGAUCGAAUUCAACUAAUUAGGCCAAAGAGAAACCAGAACGUCGACCCCUUAAUUUGACCCUAGCUAGAAAAAGGCAGCCAGCAAAUUUGCAAUGUGGAUAAGGCCAGGUUGACUGUAGGACUAUAACUACGUGGGAAUGAUUAGACAAAAGAGCUCUCCGACAUACAUAUACACUGUGUUUUACCUAAUUUCCUUGCUGCUUUCCCAGGUGGCCUUGCUUCGAUUCGAUCACGUAAACAUUGUCAAAGACGUUUCUCAGGACCCGUCGGAAAGUUUGAUCGAUCUCUACACGUACUACGGAUACUAAUUUACCCUUUUGAACUUUUGUUUUGUAUACUGUCAAAUUUAGCUUCCUGUGAUUAUCUCACGUGCAGAAAUAGAUUGGCUUUGGAUCGAGCUCAUUAGGGUUCUUAAUUGAUAGAAAAGCAACCAAGAAGCUUCAAUUGGAUCAACUUGAUGAUCGAUCAGAAAACAUGCCCAGGAAAUUAAAGAAUCAGAGUUGUCGGGCGGUAGUGAUUGUUUGUGUUGGUAAGGUAUAUCUCAUUGCAUGCAUGACAUCUCAAUUAUAUAUGAGAUUUUCGUGUACCAGAAAAUAGAAAUUAGAUUCGAUCCUUGAAUGGUCAUGUUAUUUUCGUGUGUGUGAAAAUUAAUCGGAACAUAUACUGUUUUUAAUGAUAUCUUACUUGUCUCCAGUAAGCUAUUUCAAUGUUAUUCUAAUCAAAUUAAGGUAUAAAACGAAACCCUAAGCUCAAAACAUGAACAUCAAGUCGCAAAACAUUACGUAUAACUUUAGACAAAGCGUCAAAGCGAAGAUCAUCACCAUCGACUAACACAUUGAUGCUUUUGUUUUUUUGUUUUUCAUGCAAGUUGGAAUGGAUUUCAGCUGACGAUGGAUUUAUAUUUAUACCCUAAUGGAACAAAACUUAUGAAUAAUAAACCUUUAGUUUCAUACACAUGCAUUAGUUUUGAACAUAAUUAAGGCAAGAUACAGACCAGUUCAUCCGAUUGGUUCGAUAAUAUAUAUCACGUACUCCCACCAACAGUACAGUUAUUAAUAUAUUUUUGGAUGAGGUUACUUAACCAACAAUACAAGAGCUUUACAUAAUAAUAUAUGCAUCAUCAUCACCAAUCAACAUGACUGGGUAGCUCUGUGUUAAUCGUAUAUGGUGUGUCACCAUAGCUACAUUACCAGGUGGAACGUACGUUCGUGGUUGGAGGGUAAAAGAUGAACGAAGAGUCAAGAACUUUGAGAUGAACUUUGUAAAAUCUAAUCUGCAACACUUUGUAAGAGCUAUAGACAAGAUUGUGCAGAAGUCUUUUAGCAAUUUGUAAACAAGUGAGGCAAUCCCCAGCCAAGCAUGUGGCCUCACACACUGCUAAACGAGAUAAAAAGAAAGGCUUACCAUUUACAAAGGUAAAAGUUCCUUUGAUUUUAAACUUUAAAGCCACCAAUGCUCGGUCUCUUUGCCAUCAUCGAACUUUUGCCAAAUAUUGAAAGCUUUCAUCAUUCUAUCUACCUCUCUAGCUCGUUCCCCCAUCUUCCUACGAUCUUUACGUCGAUUAAUGAAUCAAUUUAUGUUAAACUAGCUAGUUCCAAAAUCAUUUUAUCGGGACACAAAAAUUCCUAGAUAUUAUGAUUUUUGAUUUGGUCCCAAAUGGCCAAAUCAACACGUAUGAUCGAUGCUGAUAGACAAAUACACCUAAAAUUAGUCCAUCCAAGCCAAAAAAGAAAAAAGGAAAUUAAUUUUGUGAAGGCAUCUUUAAUCAGUGGAUGAAUCAGAAAGAUGCAUGGAGGACCAAGAUCAUGUCCUUUUCCGUUAAGUAAUGUUAAGAUGGUCAAUGCUUUCUUUGUUCCAUGGAUCCACAAGGAUUUGUAUGCGUAAGGGAUCAGAGGGGGUCGAGUAGAUAGACAAAUCUGGUGACAAGAAGUCUUGCAAAUCAAAGAACAUGCAUGCUUUUUGUUAAAGGAAGAAGAAGCAACAUGGAAUUGAAGAAGAAAAGGGAUCGAGAGCGAGCUCAAAAGCAAUGAGCUAGUGCAAAUGCAAUGCAUUGACACAUCUUUCACACAUAUAUGGAGCUCCACAUGUCUAUGUUUUUGCCCAAAGACAUUCUUCUUUUCCAGCAUUCUUUCUUUCUAGACUUAAUCAGGUGCAUCAUGCACAUAUGGUUUGAGAAACUGAAGCUUGAGCUAGAUCAUCCAUAUUUCUAAAGGUAAUUAGCUAACGCAAGCAUGUAUUCCGGUGCUUCGAUCAUGAACAGUAAAUAGCAACAAGGUAAAGCAAGUUAUCAUGAUCGAUAAGAUAAGUCGAUUGAAGAAGAUUAAUUAAAGGUUGAAAAGCAAGAGUGGUUAUUGGGUUUCUGUCUAUAUAGAAUCGUAAAUUUGGUGAUAAGGAAGUAAGCCUUAGUCUUUUGUGAUAGUAGCAGAUAUCUUUUGCUUUUUAGCUUACGAUAGCUGGUACCCAUCUAAUCUAAGCAUGGUAGCAUGGUCUUGUAUAUAGUUUGGCCAAGUUGAUCGCGAGAGCUGCAUUUCAGACAUGAUUAAAGUAGAAUACCUCAUCAUGUUGGAGACUUGAUGUUGAUGAUCGAUCAACUCGAUGUGGGAGACUGGGAGAGUAAAACCCUAGCUAGUCUCCAUAGGCCGGCCGUUGAAAACAAGUAGAUAAAUCCCAGUUAAUAGUGUACAUAUACUCCCACACACACUCAUAGGUCUUGAUCUUCCUCUAUCAAUAGGUUUGAUGACUUUGAUCUAAGUUUUAUUCGUGUAGAAUCCCUUGCUUAUUCCAUCGGGCAGCCGUAAACCCAGUACGUACUGCACCAUCCUUCUUUUUUCUUUCUUUUUUGAAGUAUGGGUUUGUUUUGACCUCUGAUUAUUAGUAUUGUUAUAACACUUGUUGUAAAUUUUACAAGGAUGUGAUAUCCUUCUAUCCAGUGAAAAAAAGAACUAUCAAACCAUCAAAGAAAACCGUACCCUAUCUAGAUUUUAUACAAAUACAACAGUCAUUAACAGCCGACCUUUUGAUUUGAAAUUAUAAUGAUUCAUAUCAUACAACUAAUGACUUACGAAUAGACAUAUAACUAAUGACUUACGAAUAGACAUAUAACUAAUGACUUACGAAUAGACAUAUAGUGCUUGUCGAUCUGAAAACUUUAAAGGGAUCAUUUGUAUUCAGCUAGGGAUUGUUCAUGGAUUGGGCACCAAGCACUUUGCCAUGAUCAACUUGGAAGCGAAUUGAAGCCCAAUAAGCCACUUUAUGUUUUAAACCUAACUUUAGUCUAGAACCACAGUCCAGAUACUAAACUGGCCAGCGUAAAUUAUAUUGAUUGGAUCACUGGACCGGGACAGCGGGUGUUCUAAACUUCUAAUAGCAGCUUCCUUUUUUAUAAGAAGAAAAAAAUUACAACGAGAAUUUACAAAUACAAGACAACUAAGACUAAAUCAAAUUAUAGAGCUUCGGUAGCUUGAAGAGGAAUGGAGUGAGACUUGAUCUUGGUGUUAGGUAAAGCGUGUCAAACUUUGAGCCAUAACAUAUGAUGUGACCAAGUUGGUUUCUCGCAAGACACGAGAUCGAUAUUGAUACAUUUGUAGAGCACUUGAUCAGACUUUGAACUUUACAAACCAAUGAUACAUCGGUAAACAUUACAUCCAUCUUUGAUACAUUGAAUAACUAACAACGAGCCACCUUUAACUAGAACUUGAUUAAGAUUGCAUCUUAUGUUAAAGAGCGACAAACGUGGCCCGUGGAUCAUUAUUGUAUAGACAUUAUUCCAGCUUAACCACCCUUAAUGUGUUGGGUUUUAAUCACAAAAAGUCUCGGUUUAAUUAUGAAUGAUCCACCCACUUAUAAGUUAUAUGUUAUUUGUCACUUUUCGAUGUGAGAUAUCUCCUCCGACAUCUCAUAGCUGCAAACAGGCCAUCCAUCAACGCAUACCACUCAGUUUGAAGAAGAUUUGGAGAGAAAAGAAGCUACGCUCCAUCAAUAAUAUGGUUACCAUGAGAGUCUCGAAUCACAAAGCCAACAACACAUGAGCCAACAUUUACAGAGCCAUUGAAAAUGAAGCGAUAUCAUACUAUAUAUCUUGAAAAGUCGCAAUCGUUAUUGUUGCACAAACACAAAACACAAUGAAUACUCAUCACGCCCAUCACAGUUCCAACUGCUCAAAAAACACUACUCGCAUUCAGUCACGCCAAACCUCAAACCCCCAUUAAAAUUCGCCCCAUGGGCCACUCUUGCCAAUCUCAUUCUUGCUAUUAAUUCAUGAAGAUAAAUCAAGACAUACCAAAUAUCAAGUACCCAAGUCCGAACCUUAGUAGCCAAACAUCUACAACACACGUCAUCAUUACUCAUUCGUACGAAAAAAACAUUCUCAAUUUCAUUUUAUUCUUUACCGUUUUCUCUCUAUGUAUAUUUUUCGAGUCGGUAUUAAUUUAUUUUUCUUUAAAAUAUCGAUUUUUUUUUAUUUUUUUACGCUCUCUCUUUUUUCUCUCAUAUCGGGGUCUAUCAGCUGCUUCUCAAAUCUUCGGUUUUUUCUUCUUCUUCUUCCUCCUCCCCAUCUCGCUUUCUCUCUAUCUCUGUCACACUCUUAAAACAAUGCUCUGUUGCUGAGAGUUUGAUGUCUCUCCCCACCAAACGCUCCUCAUCAACCACCACCACCUCCUCCUCUUCUUCUUCCUCUUCUCCUCUCACAUCUCCUCCGAUGAAAAAGGCCAAGUCUCAGUCCCAGCCCGACUCCAAAAACGGCCUCUUCCACCACCAUCACAACUCCUCCGACAACGACGACGACGGCCGCCGCGCCCAGCCCGACAAUUUGUCCCGCAAAAAGGCCCAGCCCCCUCAGCCCGGCAAGAAGCAGUUCGUCAUCAAACCCUUCAAAGGUUGAUCCCAAAGCUCCAGUCUUUAGGGCUUAAUUUCACCUUUCUGUAAUUGCGUUAAUGUCAAUUUUGCGUUUACUGGGGUUGGACAUGGUCUUUGAUUUUGGGUAUUGGGUGAUUUGUUGGGGUUAGGUUUUUUUGGGGUUUUGUGCUAGGUCGGUGUGUCUCAUUGUUUCUUACCUGUGUUCUUAAUUUACUGUUUGAGGUUGUUAUUUCAGCUCUGCUAUUGGUUUUGACCCUGGUGUCUUGAAUUUUGGAUUGAAAAUUGGGAAAUUUGUAUGCUUUGGUGUAAGAAUGUUAUAUUUUCGGUUACUGUGUAGGAGUUGGUUACUUGGUAUGGUCAGUGAUGAAUGUAGUGAGGCUCUGAUUUUCAGAGAUGUUGUUUUGCCCGCAAAGUAGUUGGUACUUUGGAAUGGUUUGGUUAAAAUUAGUGAUUAUGCUUAAUACAGGAGUUUGCAUAGCAGUGGGGACUAUUAUGGUUCAUGGCGUUUUUGUUUAGGCUUAUAUAGGUUGCAAGUUCUGUCUAUGAUAACUGAUCAUUGAGGAUUCUAGGUCCUGCAUCCUAAUAGGUUGGAUGCAAUGUCUAUUCUGCCAUUUGACGCCGAACUUUCGGAUCCCAAGUGCAUAUAUUAGUUGAAAGAUAGGGUUUGUGUGUUGCCAUGCGAGCAAUGACAUAUUUGCACUUCUCAUCUUAAUCUGUCCUAUUUUGUUGAGGAUCAAGUGUAAUUGUAAUUUUAUUCCCUAAUUCAUGUUUUAGAUGAUUAGAUGGGCAUCCUCGUGCAAAUGAAAAUCUACCUUUUGUAAUAAUUGUUUUGGUGAACCUGAAAAUGAACUAUAUGGUGAUUAAGAUUUGCCUUGUCCAUUUUCUGACCCCUACUGUUGUCCUGUAUUACUAUUAUGAAGUAGGAUUUGAUAUCGGAAGAUGUACACGCUUUCUCAUGUUCAUACUAUUUGUCUCUUACUAUGGGCUUGUGUAGAGUCUUAUCUUCUGUGGACAUCUGUCACUUCCAAAUACUGAAAAUUAUGCAUCGGAAGUCCUAUAUUAUUCAUUCAUUGUGUUGCAUAUGUCUAUUAAACUUUGGCCAACGAAGAUUGUAGAUGGUGGAAACUGUUAAUAGAGGCAAGUUUAUGAAAUCUGAGAAUUGGUUACAUAUUGAAAGUUUAAUGACACAUUUCAUCUUAUUUUCAAUUUGAAAGCCAAACCGGCUGUACCCAAAAAUCUUGAAGAGGAAACAUGGGAAAUACUGAAGUCUGCCAUUUGUGCUAUAUUCGAAAAGAAACCCGUUUCAUGCGUCUUGGAGGAACUUUAUCAGGUAGAGUCAUAUUUCUCUUCGUUUAUAAUACAACUGCUCGUUACAGUGUUAGUGUCUCAUAUGCACUAGGAACUAACAACAAACAAAUUAUUGUCUUUCAGGCUGUUUAUAAUCUUUGUGUGCACAAGAUGGGAGGGAGUCUGUAUCAGCGAAUCGAAAAAGAGUGCGAAAGACACAUAGCAGCGGCACUGCAGUCAUUGGUUGGCCAAAGCCCAGAUUUGGUGGUGUUCUUAUCACUUGUCGAGAGAUGUUGGCAGGAUCUCUGUGCUCAAAUAUUGAUGAUACGCGAUAUAGCCCUGUAUCUUGAUAGAACUUAUGUGAAACAAACACCAAAUGUGCGUUCAUUGUGGGACAUGGGUUUGCAACUCUUCCGGAAACAUCUUUCCCUCUCACCAGAAGUUGAGCACAAAAUUGUCACUGGCCUUUUAAGAAUGAUUGAGAAAGAAAGGUAUUUAUAUUCCACCAAUUUUUGGUAACGUCAUGUCAUAUAAAGGGUAUUCCCUAUGCUUUUUGUGGGAAGUUGAUUCGGAAAGAGUACGUGUCAAAAGCAUCUAAAUGUUCAAGAUUGUAAUUAUUUCUAAAAUGGCUGGACCAUGACUAUUCGAUGUUGAAAAUAUUUGGACAUCUAACUAAAAUUUCUUACUGUGUUUGUUUAUAAAAUAAUCUAGUGCAAGUGAGAUUUUCCUUUAAUCUAUUGACAUAAAACAAGUCUCGGUCUAUUGUUGGUAUAGUAAUGUGAAAUAUGGUGGUUUUGGUUUUCCAGAUUAGGUGAAGCUGUGGCUAGGACUCUCAUUAACCAUCUAACGAAGAUGUUUAUAGCUUUAGGAAUGUAUUGGGAGAGCUUUGAGAAGCCAUUUCUUGAGUGUAGUUCUGAAUUUUAUGGUACCGAAGGAGUGAAAUACAUGCAGCAAUCAGAUGUUCCCGAGUACUUGAAACAUGUUGAGGUGCAUUCUCUCUCUCUCUCUCUCUCUCUCUCUCUAUGUUUGUGUGUGUGUGUGUUCCUAUGUGUGCUUAAACUCUAUUUGACUAUACAUUUUUGUCAUAAUGAGGUGUUCCAAGAACUUUGCGGUUCUAGUGUGUCCCUUUCACCCUACUAAUGCUACUCUUUGAAUAUUUUUGCAUGACGUGAUGCAGAAACGGUUGCAUGAAGAACAUGAAAGAUGUUUACUCUACUUGGAUGCAAGCACAAGAAAGCCAUUGGUUGCAACUGCAGAAAAGCAGCUUCUAGAGCUCCAUAUACCUGGCAUACUCGACAAGGUUUGAUCUCUUUGUCAUUGUAGUUAUUCUAACUUACUUAUUUCCCCCAUUGUGUAUUAAUAAUAUUUAAUUGUCUAUUAUUUUUAUGUAUAAAUUCAAGGGGUUCACGAUGCUGAUGGAUGGGAAUCGCAUUGAGGACCUUCAGAGGAUGUACACUCUUUUCUUAAGAGUAAAUGCUCUUGAAGCACUCAAGCAAGCCCUUAGCUCAUACAUUAGGAAGACAGGGCAGAAAAUGAUCAUGGAUGAAGAAAAAGAUAAAGACAUGGUUUCUUCGCUUUUGGAGUUUAAGGCUUCUCUUGACACUAUAUGGGAAGAAAGUUUUUCCAAGAAUGAAGCAUUUUGCAUCACUAUAAAGGACGCAUUUGAGCAUCUUAUAAAUCUCCGCCAGGUAACAUUUCAUUUAAAUCACUUCUCUCUUUGUUUCAUGUGUCUUUCUUGAUAAUAAAAUGAAGUUGUCAUGAUAAACACUACAAAAACUAGGAAUUGACUUAUUAUACAUGAUGAAAGGUGCAGAAGAACAAUUUAGCAAAGUAAAUAACAGUUGUUUAGAAAUAAUGAAUUUAGUUCUAAUGUGAUAGUCAUUUCUAUCAUAAUUAACCAUGUAGAAUUAUUUCUACGUCUCAGUGAAUGAAACUAGUCUUAUUCUCUUUCCCUCCCUAUUCCGUGUGUUUGCGAUUCAACUUUCAAUAGUUUAUCAUCAUAGCUUAUCCUUGUUGACUAUUAAGCCAAGUGUUAUUCUUCCUAUGACAGAAUCGACCUGCUGAGCUUAUUGCAAAGUUUCUGGACGAGAAGCUUCGAGCUGGGAACAAGGGUACUUCCGAAGAGGAACUUGAGGGCACACUUGAUAAAGUUUUGGUUUUAUUUAGGUUUAUACAGGUAAGAUCAAUGUGUUAAUGAUCCAAAUGAAUAAGUUGACCCUUUGAUUAGCUAGAAGGGUAAGGAAUCUGUUAAUGAUCCAAAUGAAUCUGUUACUGGGAUUUGCAACUUUUUGUUACUAACUUAUGUGCAAAGUGACACUCACAAGACAUUCGUUUUGGCCAAUCCAGGGUAAGGAUGUGUUUGAAGCAUUUUACAAGAAGGAUCUUGCAAAAAGACUACUUUUGGGAAAAAGUGCUUCUAUUGAUGCUGAGAAGUCGAUGAUUUCCAAGGUUAAUGAUAGAUUUAUCUUUUUCUGACUUGUAUACUUAGCGACUUUCUGUCUCUUUGUUGAAGUAACAAAUUAUUUUGUCAUUACAGCUGAAGACCGAGUGUGGCAGUCAGUUUACAAACAAACUCGAAGGAAUGUUUAAGGUGUGCAUGUUGCUACAUCAUCUGAUAUCUCCAAGAGUAGUUAGUCAAUAUUGCUUCCUAGUAUCUCAUGUGAAGGGGAUGGUAGAAUUAUGUCCAACUAACUGGCCUCAAUCUUAUUUUAUUGGACUGACAAGAGAUAUCAGAUUGACUAGUUUUCUUUUUUUGGGAAUAAAUGUGGGGUUCAGCCACUUGGGUUGUUUGUGUUACUCUCGCACUAGUUUUUGUAUUAACUUAAGCUAUGGCACGUUACAUUCUACAAUGGGCUGUAGUUACAAUAGUAUUAAUCAAGACUUAUUUUAAUGUGGGAUUGGAAUAUUUUAAAGAACCAUAGGAGAUUUUUUAUUACUCUCAAGCCUUUCUUUACUUAAUCCUUCAAACUUUAGAAUGGCCAGCCUGAGUGGAUACCUCACCGCUGCACUUUUGCGCUCCACCCACUUCUCCUCUACCAAACGAAAGCUCCACCAUCCCUUUUCACCUCCACCCCUUUCUUUUCUACAUGUAAUCCUCACUAUGUUUCUAACAGUCAAAACUAGUAACCAGUUAUUGCUGCUCUUUCAUAAAUGCUGUCUACAAUCCACUUCUAGAUGUCUAUUCAUUCUUUGUAAUAGUUAGUUUGUGAUUCUAUAUAUCUGAGCAUAUGUGCCAAGUUUUCUUUGGAUUUUAAUGUCUUAUUCCUUGCAUGCUUUGUAUGUACACUAUCCAGGAUAUUGAAUUGUCGAAAGAGAUAAAUGAGUCCUUCAGACAGUCGUCCCAGGCCAGGACAAAACUCCCAUCAGGGAUUGAGCUGAGUGUUCAUGUCCUUACCUCGGGGUACUUUUCAAUUUUAAUUAUUUUCUUUAUUUUAAUAAGAUUUUACAUAAACAUUAUUAUUAUUUUCUUUACUUGGUGUUGUCUGCAAAAGGCCCUUUACGCGCUACAUGUGAAGACUAUAUUUGCACCUAAUAUAUUGUUAUUGAUAUUUUAAACGCCACCAGUUGGUGGAGAACUGAAGGAACCUAUAAUGGGGAACUUUACCUAAAUCUUGCCUUAUUUUCUUUACAAUCUUUAUUCACUCCACCCUAGGAGUAAUUAUUGUUUUGAUGGUUGGAUACAGGUACUGGCCAACAUACACUCCCAUGGAUGUGAGACUUCCUCAUGAGUUGAAUGUUUAUCAGGUUCAGUAAACGCUACACAACAGAUGCUUUAUUUGCUGGCACCGUUAAUGUGCUUUUUACAAUUGUCUAACUCUGUGUUCCCUUUUCACCUUUCACAAUAGGAUAUUUUCAAAGAGUUUUACUUGAGCAAGUACAGCGGUAGGCGUUUAAUGUGGCAAAAUUCAUUAGGUCACUGUGUGUUAAAAGCAGAGUUUCCUAAAGGCAGAAAGGAGCUUGCAGUUUCUCUGUUUCAGGUUUGUCACUUGUAGGCUGUAUAUACUUUAGUUUACCAGCUUUCAUUUUUAUUCCUCUGUAGGAUUCUAUACGGUACUCUUCCAAGUGGAUAAAUGAUAUUUUUUUGGCUUUCCAGACUGUUGUUUUGAUGCUUUUUAAUGAUGCCGAGAAGCUAAGCUUUCAAGACAUUAAGGAUUCCACUAGCAUUGAAGACAAGGAACUUCGAAGAACUCUGCAGUCACUUGCAUGUGGAAAAGUUCGCGUCCUGCAAAAGGUGGGUGCGGUUCUGGUCAUUUAUUGCAGGAUUCAUAUAUGAAAGCUUUAUCAGCAAUUUCGAGUCUUCUCCUUACUUUCUGUGUUUUUUGCCUUUGAAAUGUGUUACAGUUACCCAAAGGAAGAGACGUGGAGGAUAACGAUUCAUUCACAUUCAAUGAUACAUUUACAGCUCCUCUCUACCGUAUUAAGGUACAUAGCUCUGUACCUCCUGUAGUAAAAGAGUACCGGUGCAAUCAGAAGUCAGCUUAACUGGCUGAGUAGUUUUAAAAUGAAGUUGUAAAUCUAAAGCAUCUGUCAAUUUUCUACUCUGUACAAAGCCACGAGAGAAUGACCUCGUUUUGAGUUGCAUUCCUCAUGACGAUGGGCUUAAACGUGAUUUCUUCGCGUGCAGGUAAAUGCAAUCCAAAUGAAGGAAACAGUGGAGGAGAACACAAGCACAACUGAAAGAGUAUUCCAAGACCGCCAAUAUCAGGUUAACCUUGGUUUAUGUUCCAGAUGUUUCCUUUCACAUGGUAGUCUUGUUCCACAUUCCACAGUUAGAUAGGUUUCUCUCUAGUUGACAAUCUUUGCUUUUCCUGAUGCAGAUUGAUGCUGCUAUUGUUCGGAUAAUGAAAACUAGGAAGCUGCUGAGUCACACAAUUCUGAUAACUGAACUUUUCCAGCAGGUAAACUUGGCAUUUGAUAUUAUAAGAGUUUAUAUAGUAUUUUUGGACAUGGCAACCAUUGGUGGCAAUCAUGCUGUGUGAUUUAUGUCAUAUCAUUGCCUUCUUGCUGAUGGGGAGGAAUGAACUCCUUCGAGGCUUUGGCUUUUCUAAAUAAGAGAAAUGCUGAGAUAUAGAACUCCUUUUGGUGGGGGAAGUUUGAGCCAACUUGCGUGUUGUGUUUGUUUUGGUUGAGCAGCUUAAGUUCCCCAUAAAGCCGGCAGAUUUGAAGAAAAGGAUUGAGAGCCUGAUUGACAGGGAGUACCUAGAACGGGACAAGAACAAUCCACAAGUCUACAACUACCUUGCAUAAGUAUCCUUUUUGAAGUUUCUCCUUGUAAAUGACAUGGGAAGACUUCGAUUUCUUUCUCAAGGAUGAAAGAGAGAAAGAGGCAGGAUUUCGAGUCCGACUUCAACUCGGUCCGGUAUCUGAAAUUUAUGUACAGUGACUUUGUAGUUUUUGCAGUUUUGUUGCGGUCAGUACUGAACCACUGAUUGCAAAGAAUAUUUAUUUUCCCCUUUCUUAUUUCUAUUCCUGUGGAAGAAUUGUGUACUUGAAUGAAUGAGAGUACUUCCUUUUUUUCUUUUUUCUGAAAUAGGAAUAUAUAUAAAAACAGAGGAAAAAGAAAUUCUAGCUCGGUCUCUUUCCACCAUAUAAUCGUAUAUGUAUCUUGAUAUCAUGUGAUUGUACACCUUCUCGAGCUGACUUGUACUUUUUAGCUACAUCGACCUAACUUGAUAGUAGCCGAGCUUCUCAUCCUCCCCAAUCCAAAGAGUUUUCAAACUAUGCAAAAUAGUCAUGCAUUAAGAAAAGAAAAUCACAAUGAGAACCCCUCGUUACAACCGAAACCAGUCUAAGCUAAACCACUACUGUACUAGGGUGGAUUGUGUUCCUUCAGAGACUUCUCUAGCUGUAACUUAUGACUCUGUAAGUUGUGCGUUAGAAAUACCUCUCUUUAGUGUUCUUUUCUCCACCAAAAAAAAAAUUGAAACCAGUCAAACUACCCGGCAAGAAAGUUUGCUUCACCAUAGAUAUGGCGGAAAGAGGUUACAACAACCCAGCAGACGUAGUGUAUAGAGUAAAUAGUUUGGAUGUAUGUCUACUGAGUUAGUAACUAAUCAAUUAUGCAAUCAGAAAAAUCCUCCUUAAAUAUAAUUCACAACGAUUAAAAACAAAACAACUCUGAUUUAAAUUUUUCUUUUUUCCGCCUUUAGAUUUACCUUACAUUUAAGGAUGGUUGAGAAUGAUUUUCUUCAUCCGUUACUGACCAAGUGAACACUAACUUGUGACGCUUUGCUUUCUAGUUGGAAUUAAAAUUGGAAUUAAACUCAUCACUGCAUUCAGAAAAAGCAAUACAAUAACUCAUAACACAAACUACAAUUCUUGAUUCCAAUUACAUUUCGAUCUGAAUCAAACUCACAACGACCCCUUCACUUGGUAAUCGAAGAAACCGCGGCCCUGGGAUUAUCGUCGUCGUCGCCGCCGUGGACCUCCACAUUGGUGACGGCGGAGGCGGGGUUGAGAGGGGCGCGGAUGUCGUCGGGGUCGUAAUCGGGAUUGAGAUUACGAUCGAUGGCUUCGCGGCCUUGUUCGAGGCACGGCUUGCAGGCGAUCUCGAUGGUGAUCCAGCCCAGCACCACUCCCGCUAUUGCUAUCACUGCGCUUGUUAUUGCGCCCAUUUCUUCUUUGCUUCGUCUCUCAAAGUUUUUUACAGUAUUGCUUACCACUCACUUAUUCUCUCUCUUUGUAGAUUUUUGUAAACAGAAAUUUGAGGUGUUUUAUAGCUGUGGGCCUUCAACUUUUGCAGAUUCUCAUUUUCGUCCUUCAAUUUCUUGCUUUUUAAUUUUGAGAGAAAUCAUAAAAGAAAAUUACGUGACAAUUAAAACAUAUUCUUAAAGCAUAUCUAACAGCUUCUCCAUAGUCUUGGUUUUCUCACUUUUGGGGAAGAUUUUGGUUGUUUUGCUCAAACAGAUUCUCUAAAUUUUUCUCUAAAAUGUGGAAUGUGAUGAGAGAGAAAACCAAAUAGCAAACUCUAAAAUUUUAAAUAAUGAUUUGGGAAAUGAUCAUCAAAUCUCUAAAAUGGGAAAUCUGUUGGAAUUGAAGAUGAAAAAUUACUUGAAGCUCUGACUUUUGCUUUCCCAUAAUAGAAAAAUUAUGGAGAUGUUUUUACAGUCAUUACAAUUUGAAUGGAAACGAUUGUGCGAUUUUGUGCGCAAAGUGGUGUCAUGGGUCACCCAUGUAACGGAAUGACAAGCCGAAAUAUUUUAGACCCUGCUAAAAAUCCCGAGUUUCAUAACCUCACCAUACGUAGAUCAUUAUUUUUCAUGAAACAAUAAAACUCGGAACAAUUUAUUUGAUGAUAGUUUAUUAUUUUCUUAAUUUUUUAUCCUUUUUUAGAAUGGUUGUUCCCCAUAAUUUCAUUUUCAGUUUUAAAAGUUUAGGAUGCAAGACGCUUCCUCUUCUAUUUUUGUUGGCCUCUCCCAAGUGUAGGAGAGUGAUCAUUAGUUUUUUCCUGUUUUAUUUAUACGGGUUCAUCCUCUACAUGUCCUCCUCGACCCCAAACUACGCUAAUUUUUACAUCAAAUGCAGAACAUGAAACAUAGUUGCAAGAAUCUGAGCUUUUGAUGACUCAACUUAAAUGAGUUAAAGCAGAUCAUAGUGGUCUUCAAACUUGGUUCAAAAAGACAAUAACAUUUGGUUCAAGGACAGCUAGCCGUACCUUUCACUAGUUUGUGCGCCCUUCUUUGAGAUCAAAGCCUAACUUGAUUAAGAUCACAAAACUGUGAUCAAUCAGAUGUUUCUCUAUCCUCCCAGUUAGGCUGGGUUCCAACCGUUUAAAAAAAAAAAAAAAAAAAAAUAAGUUUCUCUAUCCACACACAAUUGUAGGCCUUCAAAUAUCUAAUGCAGAUGCUUUUAGCUUGAAAGCUACUCAUCUAAGAUUCUAAGGUCAUUUACUCGAUGUUAAUCUGGUUUAUGUGGAGACGUCGUAACCAGAUCAUGUAGUACAGUAAUGUACACCUGGUGAUGUUAGGUAGGAUUAAGCCGAGGAUAUCAUCUGGCCACAACUCACUACAGUAUAACUUGUGGACAAAUCUUCAACUCAAAGCAGAAGUGUGUACUUGCAUAAAGGUUUUCCAAGACAAGUGAUUAACUAAAUAUUCCAGAACUGAAUAGCCAACUGCUCUAUGACAGAGGCAUAUCUGUGUUAUCUGAAAACCAUCUCCUUUUCUGUAACUGUGAGUUAAUAUCAUUGAAAAUGUGGUUUAUACCUAGACCAAUUAUAGCUAGUUUCUAGGGAUUAGGGAAAGUAAGAAACAACUAAACAAGCAUGCUACAAAUGGAGUUCAUGCAAAAACCCAGGGUAUUAUAAAGGUGUAAUGUUAUAGCACAACCGUCACAAAUUCAGUCACAAAUUGAGAAAACAGGGUAAGGAAGAAAUAAAAAUAAAGAUGAAGAGCCCUAUACUUAAAUACAUUCCAAGAACCACUACAACCCCUUUUACACACAGACAUUAGCUCUAUAGCUCAAGUCUCUUAUAUAACUAAUACAUGCUUCAGGACAUACAAAGUUGCACAACAUAAUAUCAAAAAUUGAAAAGCUAGGCAAAGAGGACCUGUGAGCUUGAAGGUGUCAAGUCAGACAAGUUAUCUGGGGCAUCAACCACAUGCCAUUGAACACUGAAGUACCACUUGUUGUCAGAAGAGCCUUUACGGCUAACCCUUGAGAUGUUACCGACAGCAAGAUGAAGGUUCCUACCAACGACACAUAUUGUACAAUCAUAAGAAUUCACUGCAAAGGGUUUACAUAUCUGCUCAGGUAAAGGAGGGCCCUCUAUUGUGUCCCAGGAAUCAGUAUCCACAUCAUAAACCUUAAGCUUCAUUCUUUCAAGCUCUGAGACCACAAACAAAUGACCAUAAAUCACCACACUUGAACCUGUCCAUCCCUCUCUGAGUCCAACAGCCAUACUCUCCCAAUUAUCAGUUCUUGGAUCAUAAACCUGACCCCUAGGAGAUACAUAGAAAGGCCACAACCAGCCUUCCGUAACCAGAAGCUUUCCAUCGAGAACUGCCGCAUCAUAAGAAGACAUAUUUGUUCCCAUGUUCGCAAUGGGAUGCCAACUCCCUUCAGCAGGAUCCAAAACCUCAGCGGAGUCUAGCUCAAAAAGAUCUGUGCUGUUUCCUCCAGCCACAUAAAUCAUCCCAUCAAUCACUCCAGUUGCAAAAAAAGACCUAGCACUCACCAUCUGGUUCACCACAGUCCAUCGAUUCUUCUGCAUUUCAUAUUUCAGGACCAAAUCCAGCGGACAAUCCACAUCAGAGACCAAACCACCACAAACAAAGAGAGUGCCCUCAUGGGGAAGUGCAACACAUCUGAACCCAUGUGGACAAACUUUGUCUUUGCAAGGCAUGGCGGGGAUUGUGUGCCACGAGAAAUGAGUGAGAUCAAGAACCUGCCACUGAAUCUUUCCAGUGCACUUGUGGAAUGCAAAGACAAAAAGCCACGGGUCCUUAAACCCUACUUCUUUUCUUCGAGUGAAAAAACGCUCUUUACUACCAAACAGUAGAUGCCAACGCUUGCAGACAGCUUUGCUUGCUGUGUGGCUUUCCACCGGAAGCCGAAGUAGACAGUUAAGCGCAACAUCAUCAGGUAGACCAGGAAUGAGGGGUUCUCCCCUAAGUGAUAACUCAAUAUCUGAAGAACGGUCCAUCAAAGAAGAUUGGAUAACCGCUAGCCUAAACUUUGGGGAUAAUGUCAUCUGAGAAUCCCCUAGCUUGAGCACAGGCGCCUGUUGAGAGGACAACCGUACCCGUUGCAUCUUUCUCUCUUCCCAAGAUAAUAUACAAAGGCCCUUCUGAAGAAGACCUUAUUCUGAAUGCAAUUUCUUGCCUAUGUCACACCACCAAACAGAACCAAAUCCGAAACCAGACUAAAGCUCUGAACUUUUGACAAAUUUUGUGCAUAUAAACCAAUCCCCAAAUCCAAAUUUAAACAAAACAUACACACCAAUUCCUUUUUCACAACAACACCUUCAACUUAAAUACCUCAACAUACACACAAAGCAACAUCUAAACCAUAUGAACAACAGAGAAUCAACAUUUUUUCACUACAUAUACACAACAACCACUGCCCCCAAUCAAUCACACAAUCAAAAGCUAUAAAAUUUCUCCCAGGCGACUGAAACAGAAAGCACCCAAAACUCAAAAGCCCAUAAAAGCAAUCAAUACCUCAGAAGCAGCUCAAAAAUCCAAGCUUCUCGUCCUGAACCGAAACACCCACAAAAACCCAGUUCAGGAAUCACAUAGAUAUGGACUUUUUGUGGGCUUUGGCAGCUUCAACAUCCAUCAAAAGCUAAAGCCAAAACACAACUAUGGCUGCAGAGCAAAACAGUAGGAACUUAGAACAACAAGAAGAGGACAAUUAAACCAGUAGGAACUUAGAACCGGAAGAAGGGUGAGAGGUGGAUUAUAAAGAUGGUGACUUGAUGCGAUUUAGAGGGGGGCUCUGGUUUAUUGAAUCCAUAGAUAGGUAGAGAGAAGGGGGUGACCCGUCACACUAUUCUUUCUUAUAAAGGAAAGGACUUUUAUAUUUUGUGGCAAACAUGGUUCUUUGAUUCUAGAUUAAGGAACAACCACGCGCCAAAUGGCGCAAGUUAAGUUAAAUUCGCGGUAAAAAGUGACAGAACUCACAGAAGAGUGUGCUCUGCAGAGAAGACAGGGUUGGAGAGUGGCUUCACUCGCCAUAGUGAAAGUAAAAAUCAUUCUAUUUUGGUUUUAUGCAUUAUUUUCUUAACAAAAACACAAUCAAAUUUCCCAAUUAAAAAAACACACAUUUGAUUAAGUUGUUUACAAUAGACUCAGUCUAAUAUCAUCUUAAUGGGUUAGAUAUGUUACAUGAUUAGAUAUGUCUAUUAGUUUUGUCUUAUACACCUACUUAGUUUUAAUAAGAAGAAAGCAAUAUCAUUUUCGAGAUCAUAAUUCAAUUUGUACCGCAAAACUUGGGAGCAACACUAACUAGAAUAUUUACCUAAUAGAGGAAGAUACCAUUGUUCCAUCAAAUAGAAAAAAAAAAAAAAAGAAGAGCUUGUCAAUUGUCAUCCCAUUAAAGAGAAAGAGAUAUAUUGUUGACAUGGUGCUUUUCCUUUAACAGCCUUUUCUGGAAUAAAUGAAGGAUAGAACUAUGUAGAGAUGGCGUUUAAGUUACUCUAUGCAAAAGAAAUCAAAGCAAAUCCACAACUUUUCUCAACACCUACAUCCAUGCUCUCCAAUUCUAUCAAGUGCUUAUACAUGUUUAUUUCACUAAGAUCACCGAUUCGGUUAAAAAUUAGUGUGUCAAUGCUUAUUUGAAUACUUUAUUUUUAAUUUAUUUUCAAAAGAUAAACAAAUGAGAUACCGUUACAUUGUAUAUGAGGGAAUAAAUCAUUUGUGCCCAAAAACUCAAUUAUGUGAGGGAUAUGAACAUAGAAUUUGGCAAACAAACUUAAUCCAGAUAAGACUACUUUUUUAGAGGAUUGGUCCAAAUCACACAAUUAAUUAGCUGUGCUUUGUUUCACAUUACAAUCCAUCCAAUAGAAGUCACUGCAUUAGUUGUUAGGAGACAUGUCAUUUUCCAAUCUGCUAAUGGUGCUACUGUUUUCAUACUUAUCGGAUUGAAUAUGUUUUCUAUGUUUAUGAUCACAAUGCUAGUGAUGCAUUUGAAUCUGUUGGUUAUGUACAAUGGAUGGAUGCCAUCCCUUAUAUGUUGAGAGAUACUCUCAAGCAUGAUUGUAACAACAUCUUGCAGUAAUAAUAUUGGGCAGGCGCCCUCUUCAUUUACAAAAAAAAAAAUGUUUAUGAUCACAAUUAGUUUUGCAUAGCUCAUAAAAGUGGCAAACAUGCUUAAUGAGUGGAAGUGUGGAACUUAACAUGAUGCUAAUUGAGGCCGAAGACAGGGUAAGCACGCCGGAAAAAAGUGAAUGCUAUCCCAAUUCUUUAAAAACCAACCCAAAAUUUUUCUCCCAACUUUUUUGUUUGUCGUAUAAAUCAUGAUUUUCACCCAAAUGUGCGGACAUGUAUCAGCAAUGGUGAGACCAUAGGGGCGAGACUAUGAGUCUAUGACACGAUAUAUAGGCCGAAACUGAAUGCCAGAAGAAAGAACAAUUAAGAAUGAAAAAUCUGACCAUUUGCAUUCAUCUUUGCGUACCAGUUGAUUUGGUAAGAAAUGUCAUCUGCAUCUGUACAAGUCCUAGUCUCAUACAAGUCCUGCUAACAAAUUAACAUCUACUCAAUUUUGCAGGAAGCAAAGUCUUGAUAAUAGGUCAUUGCUACAAAUAUUUCAGACCUGAAAACUUUUUUAGCACGUUCAUUCUAUAUCUGUUCUGGUGGUGCUACAAUUCCAAGGGAAAGUCACAGAACCUAUAAUAGUAAGAGUGCACAUAUUCCUGAAUCUUUUUUUCUUUCAACAGUGUUAGGGUAUCCCAAAGGCUUGCUCCAAUGUAGUGCAGCACACUGCCUGGCCACUUUGACAACUUCCUGAUUCGAACGCUGGUUGAGGAGUUCUUUACUUGAACGCUCAACCACUCCACUAGGUCACUUGCAGUGGUUUCCACCUUAAUCUUCUUAUGUUCAUAAAUCUUCCUCCCACCUCCAAAAGGCAUGCAUCUGUCAAAAAAAGGCAGCAGUAACUACUAACUGCAAAAUCAUCACCAAGGAUUCUAUAACACAAGUAGCAGAAACUAAUAAAAUAGUUGCCAUAUUCGGAUGCAUAGGAUAGAUUUCCAACUGUUAAAAAAAUAAACAAUGCCAAAAAGAAGAAUAUGAAAAGAAAGAAAUUUCCCAAUGUGAAGCCUGCAGGCUCAUUUGGCAAAUGAUUCCAGCUGUUUAGUACAGUUCAAUUUUGUGCUUCAAAUAUUCAAGCAUCAUAAACAGAAAACCCAAAGCGAAAAAUAGUUCAACUACUACUAGUAGUAGAUGGAUCCUGAGAGGAUGAAUUAUACCAGUCUUCAACAUGUUAGGUUCAAUUGUUAUCACUGACAUAAUAAAUGAUGAUAUAGGAGUAUUUAUAAAUGAUGAAAAUGAAGUGAAUGGCAUACGAGAAGUGUUCCACUGGCAUGUGACUGCAAACUGAUUAACAAGAAGUUAAGAACAAACAACAGCAAGCAUUUCUGAGAAAGUAAGUAACUGUACACAAGUUACAGAUUGGUUAUUUUCUCUGUUUUAGAACCCCAUUCCACAAAUCAACUUGUUGACAUAACCUUGUUGCUAGUAAAACAUACAAGAUAAAUCAGAGAGCUCUGUGCAUGAAAGCCAUUACAGGAUAACAAACCUUGAACCAAAUCCUCAUAAAAGAUAACUCCACAACUGUACUGGAUAACCCAAAACGCUCAAAGCUCAUGGCCUCAGUGAGACUUGAAGUCAAUCAAUAAUAUCAACAAAGCAUAAAAAGAAAGAUUUAAAUGCACAUCAUAAGUAGUACAAAAGUAAAGACACAUUCACAGCUAGCAUAAUCUUCUACUAGCCUACAAUAUCAUUAUUUCCACAUAAAAGAAUUUUCUGCACAGGAAAAUAAAUGGAAGUGUUUCCCUACUUUAUUGACAUCUCAAUAUCAACUUCACAGGAUAAAAGACCAUACUCUAUAGUAGUAAACAAGUGAACAUUAUUUAAGAAUGAAAAGACAGCUAGAGGGGCAGAUACAGAUUUAGAAGUGUAUAUCUUCUAUCAAGCCCAUAUUUAUUAUGCAAAUACAUAUGUUGAUACUUAUUCAAUACCAGGGAACUUAUAAUCUAAACAAACCAGGGGAAAAAUCUAUCACUGAAGCAAUGGACUUAAUUUUGUUCUGCCUUCCACAUUCACAUUCAGAGAUAUUUUUGACCCAGAAAAAGAGACAGGAACCAGGUGCAACGCUACAGAUGUAGCGACAGAUCAAGAUUUGUCUUGCCAUCUUCCAAAUCGAAAGGCAUUCCUGAAACAGAAUUGGAGUUGUCCUCCUCUUUAAAAAGAAGAAGCUCUCUCUUCGGAG
rnacentral:lncRNA from 1 species